rnacentral:lncRNA from 1 species
GUGGUCCGAAUAGCAUUUGUUACCCAAACCCAAACUUUGCGGAUAAAUUUGAGUGCAAAUGCCUACCUGGAUUCGAACCCAAGUUGCAACAUGAGUGGUAUUUGGGAGAUUGGUCAGGCGGGUGCGUGAGGCAAAAAGGAUCAUCCGUUUGCCAAAACGGGGAAGGGUUCUUGAAGUUGGAAAGUGUGAAGGUGCCGGACACUUCUACGGCACGUGUGAACAUGAGUAGGAGUGGGGAAGCAUGUAAAGAAGAAUGCCUGAGAAAUUGUUCUUGCACGGCAUACGCAAAUGCAGAUGAAAGGCAGGGAGGGAGUGGCUGUAUAACAUGGCAUGGCGACUUGAUUGACACGAGGACCUUUUUGUAUACGGGUCAAGAUUUGUAUGUGCGAGUUGAUGCAAAUGUUUCAGGUAUAUUUCCAUUAUCAAUUUAUCUUCUUUCUUCUCUUUUCCUUAUCAAUAAUUCCUCUUAUAACGCCGAGGUUCCAUGAAAAAAAAGAUCUUCUUUCUUUAUGUCAUUAACAAAUUUGAGGAAUUAUUAUUUAGUUUGGUAGUUGUACGUUUGUUAUCAUUCUAAAAAAAAUCAUUUGGCACUGGUCUCUUGCCAAAUAAUAAAAGUGAAAUUGUUUCGUCAAGAGUGUAAGAUGACUUUUUUAGAGUACUAAUUUUUUUUAUAAAAAAUUCAGAAAUAUCUAUAAAUUAAUACUAAAAAUUUAGUUCUUAUGUUCAUUGGAGCUUUUUACAGGGUUUUUUUUUUCCCGAAUUUUUACAAGGUUUUUUAAACAUGGAAAUAAAUGCGUGUAUAUCUGCAGCUCAAUACGCAAAGAAGUCAAACAGUUCUUUUGGCAAGAAGAGGAAGCUGGAAGUUUCAGUAGCAUGUGGUCUAUUGUUCUUCCUUUUGUUUUCCCUUGCAUGUUGGUUGGUAAAGAGGAAGAGAAAAGGUAAACAAAUUUCCUUUUACUAGGUUGCCCUCUAAUCAUUCACAAUUAUGUAACUGGAUAUUGGUUUUAAUUAUUUAAGAACACAAUAUUAUUUAUUUAUGUACUUUUAUCACAGGUAAGAGAAGUCAGGAUAAACUUUUCAAUGUGACCAUAGCAUCAACCUCCUGGGAAGAUUCUUCUGCUAGAACAAAUAUUGAUGAAAGUGGAAUAAACUCUGAAUUACCAUUCUUUGAACUAAGUACCAUAGUUAAAGCCACACAUAAUUUCGCUUCCAACAACAAGCUUGGAACAGGUGGUUUCGGCUCCGUUUAUAAGGUGCGUAGUUGCCCUGAGAUAAUGUCUCAAAUCAUAAAUCAGACUUUGAAUAGACAUUUUUUAGAUUUAUUUUUUAGCCAUCUGCACUCCAAAUCAAUUAUUUUAUUAUUUUUUCCUCUACUCACCCUUGUAGUUAGGCCUGGCAAACGGGUCGUGUCUGUCGUGUUCUUGUCGUUUUCGUGUAGCACCUGUUAUCUUAACGGGUCGUGUUGUGUCAUACAUGUUAUCUUAACAGGUCCUUAACAAGUCGGGUCGGGUAAAGUGACCCGACCCGUUAAGAAAAAUAUAUUUUUUUUCUUAAAUUUGCACAUACCACACUUUGCCACAUAAAUAUUACUUCAAAACAUUAAAACACAUAAUUUAAUAUAUAUAUAUAUAAUUAUUUUAGUUUUUAGGGGUAUAAAAUUGUUAAAUUAAUAUAUAUAUAUAUAUAUAUAUACAUAUAAUUAUUAUAGUUUAUUCAUACUUUCAUUAAGUAUAACAUAAGAUUUUGUGGUAUCCACUAAUGUAAUUUUUUAAAUUGAAGAUCGAAUUCAUUCAUUGUAUUCAUAUAGAGUCAAGGAGUGUAACUGUAAAAAAUCAUCAAAAUCGGAGUUAAAAUAACCGUUAAAUAGUGAUUUUUCGUUUUAUAAUCGUCGAAAAGUUUUGUCUCGUUACUUGAUCUCUGAAUGUUUGUUCUUUGCAAUUUUUGGCGUAUGCGAUCUCGAAGUAUAUACAAACAUGUAUGACAGUUGGAUUGUUGAAACUAGUUUCGUAUAAUGCGUAUCCUAUCAAAACAAUAGAUUCACUAACACUUAGUUUAUUCUUACUUUCAUUAAGUAUAACAUAAGAUUUUGUGGUAUCCACUAGUAUAAAUAUUUUAAAUUGAAGAUUGAAUUCAUUCAUUAUAUUCAUAUAGGGUCAAGGAGUGUAGCUGUAAAAAAUCAUCAAAAUCGGAGUUAAAAUAACCGUUAAAUCGUGAUUUUUCUUUUUAUAACCGUUGAAAGGUUUUGUCCCAUUACUUGAUCUCUAUAUGUUUGUUUUUUGUAAUUUUUGGUGUAUACGAUCUCGAAGUAUAUACAAAUAUGUUUGACGGUUGGAUCGUUGAAACUAGUUUCGUAGAAUGCAUAUCCCAUCAAAACAAUAGAUUCACUAACACUUAAGAGUUUAUUCAUACUUUCAUUAAGUAUAACAUAAGAUUUUGUGGUAUCCACUAGUGUAAAUAUUUUAAAUUGAAGAUCAAAUUCAUUCAUUGUAUUCAUAUAGGGUCAAGGAGUGUAGCUGUAAAAAAUCAUCAAAAAUGUGAUUUUUCUUUUUAUAACCGUUGAAAGGUUUUGUCCCGUUACUUGAUCUUUAUAUGUUUGUUUUUUGCAAUUUUUGGCAUAUGCGAUCUCGAAGUAUAUACAAACAAGUUUGACGGUUGGAUCGUUGAAACUAGUUUUGUAGAAUGUGUAUCCCAUCAAAACAAUAGAUUCACUAACACUUAAGAGUUUAUUCAUACUUUCAUUAAAUAUAACAUAAGAUUUUGUGGUAUCCACUAGUGUAAAUAUUUUAAAUUGAAGAUCGAAUUCAUUCAUUGUAUUCAUAUAGGGUCAAGGAGUGUAGCUGUAAAAAAAUCAUCAAAAUCGGAGUUAAAAUAACCGUUAAAUAAUGAUUUUUCGUUUUAUAACUGUUGAAAAGUUUUGUUCUGUUACUUAAUCUCUGAAUGUUUGUUUUUUGCAAUUUUUGGCGUAUGCGAUCUUGAAGUAUAUACAAACAUGUUUGACGGUUUGAUCGUUGAAACUAGUUUCGUAGGAUGCGUAUCCCUUCAAAACAAUAGAUUCACUAACACUUAAGAGUUUAUUCAUACUUUCAUUAAGUAUAACAUAAGAUUUUGUGGUAUCCACUAUUGUAAAUAUUUUAAAUUGAAGAUCGAAUUCAUUCAUUAUAUUCAUAUAGGGUCAAGGAGUGUAGCUGUAAAAAAUCAUCAAAAUCGGAAUUAAAAUAACCGUUAAAUUGUGAUUUUUAGUUUUAUAACUAUCGAAAAGUUUUGUUCAGUUACUUGAUAUCUGAAUGUUUGUUUUUUGCGAUUUUUUAAUGGUGCGAUCUAGAAGCAUAUACAAAUAAGUUUGACGGUUGGAUCGUUGAAAUUAGUUUUGUAUAAUUCAUAUCCCAUCAAGUUCAAUGGUAUAUAUAUAUAUAUAUAUAUAUAUAUAUAUAUAUAUAUUAAGUAGAUUUAAUUCUAUUUAUUUUGUACGUAUAAUUAUUAUAGUUUUUUGGGGUAUAAAAUUUAAUUUAAAAUUAUAUAUAUAUAUAAUUAUUAUAGUUAAUAUUUUGGGGGUAUAAUUAUUAUAGGCUUUUUAUAUUAGCACCCCACAAAAUGUUGAAUGCACCCCAUAUUAAAAUUUAAUAUUAAAUGACUUAUUUACUCCACUAUGCAAUGACAAUUUUGACCUUAUUAGGUUUUAAAAAAAAUAAAAAUUUAUAAAUACACCUCAAAUCACUUUUAGCAUAUUAUUUAUUUUCUCAACUAUCAAAACCCUUUCAUCUUCCAUUGUUGAAUAAAACUCUAACCAAUGAAACUACAAACAUGUUGAUUGAGAAAAAUUGUUUUUGACGAAUGGAAUACAAAAUCGAUGUUUCUGAAGCUUUACAUGAGAUAAGACUUCACAUUUUUCAUUGUUUUAGUGAUUUCGAUGACAUCAAUAAUUAUUUAAUCUUGCGUUUGCCGCAUUAUUUAAACUUCUAUAUAUUCAUAUUCAUCUUUUAGGGUUCAUAUUAAUCUUGCGAACCUAGUAACAUGAGUCGUAUUAGUGCUAGAGUCAUAUACUACUUUUACAAAUUGACGAUAGCCAUUCUCCACAUGAACUCCUACUCUCAAUCUUUAGCUGUUUGAUUGACGUACAUUUCUCAUUGUGAGUUUUUCUUUCUUUUUUCUUCUUCUUUUCUUGUCACUGGGAGAUGAUCAGUGGAAAAUGAGGAGAGACAUGGCCUAUAUUUAAAGAAAUCUGAGACCGAUUCAGUUUUGAUUUAUUAAUUAACUUCUACACCUGGAUCAUUAGCAGAGAGAGGGUCUUUAUUUAUUUUGUUCAAGACUAAGUCUAAAGACUUGUGAAAUAUAUAUAGAAGCAUUCUUUGUUAGCAGUAACGAGAGAGUCUUUUUUUUUUCUUUUUUUUUACUCGAAAAGACUCAGCACCACGGGUCAUUUUUAAGGCUUUUUAGAAGUUGAAUAAGAUGAUUUCAAACUAUACUAAGAUGAUUUCAAAUCAUCAUUUUGAAAUCAUUCGGUAAACUAAACGUUCAGAUGAUUUGAAAUAUUUUGACAAAUUAAACGUUCAAAUGGUUAGAUUCAAUCCCUGAAAAUUAAAAAUGAGUGUUAUAAGAUUUGAGAAAUGUGGGGUGUAAAGAAAAUGUGGGGUGUAUGUACAAAAUAUAAGAUGUAUAUUGAGAAUGUGGGGUGUGGGGGUAUUAUGGGAAAGUAUGUGGGGUGUAUUUAGAUAAUUUUUAAGUGAAAAAGCAAAUAUGGGGUGUAUUAAGUAUGUGGGGUUUAUUCAACAAUUUGUGGGGUGUUAAUAUAAUUAGCCUUAUUAUAGUGUAUAUAAUUAUUAUAAUUAUUAUAGUUAAUUUAAUAUAUAUAUAUAAUUAUAGUAUUUUUUAGGGUUAUAAAAUUAUUAAAUUAAUAUUCUGCUUAUCGUGUAUCGUGUUACCCACGUAUAUACCCGAACCAACCAGUUAUCUUAACAGGUGAUUAUCGGGUUACCCGAUAACGACCCGAUUCGUUAUCGUGUCGACCCGAACACCUGUUAAUUUCGUGUUGUGUUGUGUCGAGUUAUUGGGUCGUGUCAGGAAUUGCCAGGCCUACUUGUAGUUUAAACAAAAGAACAUAAUGAAUAAAUCUUGCAGAGAAAGAAAUAGAAUCAAGAAGAGAGAGGGAGCAAGAUUUAUAGAGAGAGAGAGAGAAAGAGAAUCAAGAAGAGAGAGGGAGCAAGAUUUAUAGAGAGAGAGAGAGAGAGAGAGAGAGAGAGAUUUUAGACAGAAAAAGUGAAUCUUUGUUAAUGGUUUCAGAAAAAAUACAAGGUAGUGAUCCAUAAGGAUAUAUAUCCAAACUAUAUUGCUUACAAGCUAAGCUAACAUUUAGCUCACAGGUUAUUGACACUUGCAAACAAUAUUACAGUUAACAAAAAUCAAGAGACCCGUCCAAUAAAGACUGGAAAGGCUGACUCAAAAAUAUAUUUCAUUAAAAUUCAUACCCAAUCAAUAAUCGAUAAGUGAUGGGAACUAUCUUGUUUCGACUUUUCACAAUUAUCCCACACGGUGAUGCGGGUUUUGAAAUUGUAUAAAACACAUAGAAAGUUUUAAAUCUAUAUAUGAUAAGCCAUACUACUUAUAUACAUGUGGAAAUCUAUUCACAAACCUAUUCCUAAGCCAUACUAAUUAUAUAUAAGUGAUGGUUGCAUGGUAUUGAUCUUCUACACAAAAAAAGCAAACGUUUUCCACCCUAGGAAAUUGUUAAGCACCUAUCAAACUAAUUAAUUGGAAACAGUAUGGUGCUUCCCAAUCUAAAGAGUCAAUGACACUAAAGCAGCAGAUUAGUGAAUAGAUUAGCGAAUAGUUAAUUAUGAUUUGUUUUGGGUCCAAAGAAACCUUGUUAGGUGAUGGUGAAUCAAUAUGAAAGUAAACAAUGCCGAUUUCAAAAUGGAUACUAAAGAGCUAUUCAUCCGCAUAAGUAAAUACAUACCAACAGAAAAGUGGGCUAAUCCAACCAAUCUCACCAAUGGACAUUGUCACCCGAGCAAUUCGGACUAAAUCUUUGAUGAAACAAAAAAAUGCUGAGGAAAAUGAUCAUUACCCAAAAUUCCAUUCUGAACAAAUAUAUGGACCAAUCUGAAGUAAGACGAAGAAUUAUGACAUGAAAAACUUAAUAAAACCCAAUUUGAACGAAGAACUCAAUCUGAAGCAGAUUUUCACAUGCAAUAGUUCUAGAAGAUGCCUAAGAUGACAAGGAGUCAUUUGAGACCAUCAACUCAACCCCAUUCGAACGCAAUCCCAAAAUCAAAAAGGACAAAAUGGGCAAACAAAAUCAAAGCAUUUUUAUGUACAUGCAUUGAGUUUUACUCCUUUGUUAAUGUAUAAAUGCAAUUUCAAGGGGAGGAUAUAUAUAUAGAGCUACGAUUAUGUUGAUAAUUUUCUUGAAAGGUAAGUGCACUAUAAGUUGAAUUUGGAUUAUAAAUUCAGGGUGUGCUUGAUAAUGGAAAGGAGAUAGCAGUGAAAAGACUAGCCAAGAAUUCUGGCCAAGGAAUUGGAGAGUUUAAGAAUGAAGUUGUGUUGCUUUCAAAGCUCCAACACAGGAACCUUGUGAGGAUCAUGGGUUGCUGCGUUCAAGAUGAAGAGAAGAUGCUGAUCUAUGAAUACUUGGCAAACAAAAGUCUUGACUUUUUCAUUUUCGGUAUGUCUUUCUUUUACUUUUGUUCUUCUUUUUAUACAAGCAAUAUUGUGGAGGGGAAAUCGAGCUCAGGACCUCGGGUGCAGGAUUGAAUGCUCUAAACUCAACUCGGUUACAAGCACCUUUCUUUUCACUUGUGUAUCUAAAAUUGUCGGUUAAAAACCUUGAACCAAGCAAGAAUACAAUCUAAUUUACUUUGCUUACUUUUUUCCCAUACGAAGCAAAAGAGGCGUUCUUGGAUUGGACAAGACGCCUUGAGAUAAUAUGUGGGAUUGCUAGAGGGAUUUUAUAUCUUCAUCAGGAUUCAAGAUUAAGAAUCAUCCAUAGAGAUCUAAAGGCCAGCAAUGUUUUGUUGGAUUCUGCUAUGAACCCCAAGAUUUCAGAUUUUGGUAUGGCUAGGAUAUUUGGAGCUGAACAAAUUGAAGCAAAUACAAACCGUGUGGUUGGGACAUAGUAAGUUUCAUUCAAGACUAAAAGUACACCUGUUUUUUACAAUUUUCAUCCCUAUUUCACAAGGCCACAAACGUGAGUACAACUUUUGUUGAAUACUACAGAAAGAAGCUGUGAUACUUAAUCAAUUUUAUUUUGUUGCUUCAGCGGUUAUAUGUCACCAGAGUACGCAAUGGAAGGAUUUUUUUCAGUAAAGUCUGACGUAUAUAGCUUUGGCGUUUUACUACUAGAAAUUGUUACUGGCAGAAAGAACACUAGCUACUACCACGAUAGUUCUUACUCAAAUUUAGUUGGACAUGUAAGCAUAACAUUAAGACGUACCAAACUUCUCUCCGUCUGCUUUUAUAACUUGAUGAUUAAUUUGUAAAUGGUUUUUAGGUUUGGGACUUAUGGAAGGAAAGUAGAGCCUUGGAAAUCAUUGAUUCAUCGCUGGGAGAAUCAUACCAUGUCAAUGAAGUUCUAAGGUGUAUUCACAUUGCCCUCUUGUGCGUGCAAGAGCAAGCGAAGGAUCGUCCACUCAUGUCAGCAGUGGUUUCCAUGUUGGGUAAUGAUGCAGCAAUUCCUUCACCAAAGCAACCUGGAUUUUUGUUGAAGAGUGGGGACCCAUCAGCCAAUACAAAAGGAGCUUCCUCUAUAAAUGACAUGACCCAUACAGAAGUAGAAGGUCGCUAAGGGGAGAACUAGACGAAUACUCGGAAAUACCAUCAUUGAAUUUAGAGUACGAUCACGUGAUAAGUGAGAUAAGAAUAGAUGAUAUACUCCGAUUUCACUCAAUAAUUUGCCUUUUAAUUAGGGAUCUAAGUUCUAUAUCUACAACACUCAUCAUCUCUCUUGUUGUAAAUACAUGCUAUAAAUUGUGUGCCUUAUAACUAGGGAUCUAAGUUCUAUAUUUGCAAUACUCAUCAUCUGUCUUGUUGUAAAUACAAAAUAUAAAUUAAUUGCAACACUCGUCAUCAGUUCGACGAGGCUACAUAAAAGUACUUUCUAACCGCCAUAGACAUUUAGGAGGGCUGAGAACUUUGUGGCUCAAGGUUUUAGAAGCAGGCAUACUCAGACACUAAUCAAGCCACGUGUCAACUAACAGUCAAGACUCAAAAACAAAAGUCUAGAGCGGGACAUGAAGCUGGUCUGGCCUGCUCGAAGUGACAUGACUAAUUAAUCAAGGCCUAGCGGGACGCUCGGCACACAUUGGACAUUUGGAUGUUAUGAUAAUUUAGUGUUAGAAAUGAUAAUUUAGAGCUUGAAUAUUGUUCACUAUCACAUGUGCUAGUAUAUGCUUCAAAAAAUUUUAGAGGCAAAAUAUUGUUAAAAAUUAUGAUGCUCUUAUUUGUACGGUGAUUUAUACAAAACACUGUAUUAAUGGUGAUAUUUACAUAAAACUAUAUCAUAGUGAUUAGCGAAUAGUGAUUUCUACAUAAAAUUAUAUUAAAAAUAUUUGAGAUGGUAGUCAAAUCUUAUGCAUAAACUCUGUUGUGAUAGUGCAAAAGUUUUUACAGAUUAGAAAUAGUCCAAAAUUGUUUGAGUGCGGUAUCGGGCUCGAAUUUUUUAACCUCACUCUUGCUCAUCUCCCAUAAGAAUCAAGUCAAGCUUACCCGCAAGCUCGAAAAAAUUAAAUAAGCCAAAUUUAAACAUAAUAGUAUUCAGUUCGGCUUGACUAGUUUGCAGUCCUACAUUUAUUUAAAACACCCCUCUGAAUUAUUACCCAAAGACGGGACCUUUUUGUAUCUUUAAGUUGAAAAGCUGAGUGAAUUAUGACUUUCUCCAAUAAAUCCAGAGAUGAUAAUUGGAUAGAUAAUUCCACUGACCAAUCAAUUAACUGUUGGAAAAUAUUAGUAUUUUGGUUUAUUUGAAUGUUUGGUUUUAUGGGUUUAGCCCGUUAGAAUUAGGUUUGUUAGAGAUUAGGGUUAAUUUAUUAUAAAUAGGGUGCUUUGUUAUUCAUUAGAGAACAAGUUAGCCACAAUGUAGUCUCUUAGGGUUUUGUAGCCGUUUCGGCAUUCUCGUUUGUUUAAUAAUAUUCUUAUUAUUUGUUAGUCUUGUUCGUUGCGCACUCUGAUAUUCAACUUGGUAUCAGAGCGGGUUCGAUCCUUAGGGUUCAACCCGUUCUCAUUGGUAUCAAUUUGUUUGCCUUUGUCGUCGUUCGUUUUAGAUUUGUUAGUUGGUAUUGAUUGUUUGCAAGGAAAAGAAAAAUGAAAGGAAAAAAAAAAGUUUUGCUUGCAGAGGAGAAGAUUCCCCAGCAAAUAAAAAAAUGGAACUUUAACGAAAAGCACCCGGUACUGUUCACUUUAACGAAAAACCACAUUUUUACACUAAAAAGUCAAUCCUGGUACUAUUCACUUUACCCUUUAUUUUGUCCUUAUCAUUAAAACUCAAAGUUUUCAAGCCCUUUUCAUUAGUUUUCCUAUAAAAAAAAGGGGACGAAGGAGAAAAGAAGAAAAAGAAGGAAAAAAAAGAGGAACCACGGAAAGGAAGAAGAAGGAAGAAAAAAAUGGGAAAAAAAAAGGAAGGAAAAAAAUAUGGUUGUUUUGUGGUCCGUGUAUUCUUGCAUUGGGCAUGGUAACUUGAACUUGGAAUGGAAAUUUGGCAUCGACAUUGGUAUCGGCAUCGGCAUUGGUAUUGGCAUCAGCAUCGGAAUCGGCAUUGGAAUCGGCAUUGGAAUCGGCAUCGGCAUCAGCAUUGGUAUUGGCAUCGGCAUCAGCAUUGGAAUUUGAAGGCUUGCAUCCACAUCUGCUUGUUGGCAAACUCAUGUCGUCUACCGCCAUGAGUUUGAUAGGGGGUGUUGGAAAAUAUUAGUAUUUUGGUUUAUUUGAAUGUUUGGUUUUAUGGGCUUAGCCCGUUAGAAUUAGGUUUUGUUAGAGAUUAGGGUUAGUUUAUUAUAAAUAGGGUGCUUUGUUAUUCAUUAGAGAACAAGUUAGCCACAAUGUAGUCCCUUAGGGUUUUGUAACCGUUUCGACAUUCUCGUUUGUUUAAUAAUAUUCUUAUUAUUUGUUAGUCUUGUUCGUUGCGCACUCUGAUAUUUAACUUUAACUUGGAUAGAGUUUGCACAAAAACACAAGAAGAUUAAAACCCUUAAUGCAAAUAUGUCACAAAAUACUAUAUACGUGACAAAUCCGAAUCGGUGUUUAGGGGCAUCUCUAAUGAGAAAAUACAAAAUUUGAGAGGAAAAAUCAUAUUUACGUUUCUGAUCGAUGUAAAUGAAGCUAUACUCCAAUGAGAAUGAUGAAAAUUUGAGAUCCCAUUUAAUUUUGUCUCCUUGAUUAGUGGGACUCACCACCAAAAGAUGUAAAAAAGAAUAUAAAUUUAAGUUUUUAUUUACAUCCUUCAACGAAGAUGAAUAAUUUAUAUUUCGCCAUUGGAUAAUUUUUCAGCAAAGAAAAAAAUAUAAAAUGUCCAUUUCAAAGUACUUUGAGAGAUGCCCUUGAGAAGAAAAGCUUACUUACCGUUAUAAUUGUUUAGUAAUCUGAAAUAAUUAUUUACCGCUAUGCAUUUUAGAAUCUAUUGUGUAAAUAAUUAUUCAAUGUUAUGUGCUAAAAUCCAGUUAUGUAAAGAUAUGUGAUUAACUCGAGAUAGAGUAGUUAUAACAUUCCAAAUUUCGAAUAAUCUGGUAGUUCUCGAAACAAAGAAAGAAUGAAGAAAAAAAACCUCUGAAAACAAAAUGUGAAAAGGUGUAAUAGUAAUUUCAUCACUGUAUUACAAUUGUUAUUUUUCUUUUUUGGGCGUAUUAAUGUGUUGUGAGUGUAUGAUUUGGUGGUGAAAGUCUCUGUCUGUCUCUGUCUGUCUCUGUCUGUCUCUCUCUCUCUCUCUCUCUCUCUCUUCGCUCGAAGUCUCAAAAACACACUCCACCAGUAGCACCCGAAAACCUCGUAAACCUUUUUCUUCCAUUUCAUUUCUUUACCGAGUGACACGAGCGAGCGAGUUGAGAAAUGGCGACUCGGUUCCCGGACGAUUUCAAGUGCCCAACUUCCCUCGAAAUAAUGUCGGACCCGGUUAUACUCUCCUCGGGUCACACCUUUGAUCGGGCCUCCAUCCAACGCUGGCUCGACGCCGGUCACACCCGGUUACAAAAGGGUUGAUUGCUAUUGCACUUGUUCAGUUCGUUCUUCUGAUCCGGUGCUGCGCUUCAAUCGAUAGUAUAACAACUGAUCAAGCGAUCAGGGAUGGCGAAGUUCUAUUCUCUAGUGGAGAAGUGUUUGAGCUUGGUUGAUCUUCAGCCCCAGAAAAUCUACGAACACUAUGUUGGAAUCUGGUAUAAGAAAGAUGUAGAAAAAAGAGUUGUAUGGGUUGAAAACAGAGACAAUCCUGUCAAUGACACUUCAGGAAUCCUCUCAACUGGUGCAAAUGGUAACCUCUUCCUCUAUGCCGAAAACCAAAGCGAUAUUCCCCUCUGGUCUGCCAUAUCCAAUGUUUCAAUCGCAUCAUUACCAUCCAAUUCCACACAUGAGCCUAAUUACAAAGCUCAGCUCUUAGAUACUGGAAAUAUUGUGGAGGGGAAAUCGAGCUCAAGACCUCAGGUGCAGGAUUGAAUGCUCUUAACUCAACUCAGUUACAAGCGCCAUUCUUUUCACUUAUGUAUCUAAAAUUGUCGGUUAAAAGCCUUGAACCAAGCAAGAAUACAAUCUAAUUUACUUUGCUUACUUUGCUAGUGGGAUCUUAUAUCUUCAUCAGGAUUCGAGAUUAAGAAUCGUCCAUAGAGAUCUAAAGGCCAUCAAUGUUCUGUUGGAUUCUGUCAUGAACCCUAAGAUUUUAGAUUUUGGUAUGGCUAGGAUAUUUGGAGCUGAACAAAUUGAAGCAAAUACAAACCUUGAGGUUGGGACAUAGUAAGUUUCCUUCAAAACUGAAAGUACACUUAUUUUUUACAAUUUUCAUCCCUAUGUCACAAGGCCACAAACGUGAGUACAACUUUUGUUGAAUAAUACAGAGAGAUGCUGUGAUAAUUAAUCACUUUUACUUUGUUGCUUCAGUGGUUAUAUGUCACCUGAGUACGCAAUAGAAAGACUUUUUUCAGUAAAGUCCGAUGUAUAUAGCUUCAGCAUUUUACUACUAGAAAUUGUUACCGACAGAAAGAACACCGGUUACUACCAAGAUAGUCUUUACUUAAAUUUAGAGCAUAACAUUAAGACAUUACCAACGUUCUCUCCGUCUGCUUUUAUAACUUGAUGAUUAAUUUGUAAAUGGUUUUUAGGUUUGGGACUUGUGAAAGGAAAGUAGAGCCUUGGAAAUCAUUGAUUCAUCUCUGGGAGAACCAUACCCUGUCAAUGAAGUUCUAAGGUGUGUUCACAUUGCCCUUUUGUGCGUGCAAGAGCAUGCAAAGGAUCAUCCACUCAUGUUAGUAGUGGUUUCCAUGUUGGCUAAUGAUGCAGCAAUUCCUUCACCAAAGCAACCUGGAUUUUUGUUGAAGAGAAGUUAUCAUACUAGUGGAGACCCAUCAGACAAUACUGAAGGAGCUUACUCUAUAAAUGACAUGACCCAUACAGAAGUAGAAGGUCGCUAAGGAGAGAACCAGACAUAUACUCGAAAAGAUUAUAUCAAUCAAUUAAGAGUAUGGUCUCUUAUGAGUGAGAUUAGAAGAAAGGAUAUGCCCUGAUUUCACUCAAUAAUUUGCCUUAUAACUAUUGAUCUAAGUUCUAUAUCUACAACACUCGUCAUCUGUCUUGAAAUGCCGCUCCUUUCAUUUUGCAUAUCAUUGAACUUUUGGUAUUUUGUAAUAAUGUACUAAUGUUUUUUCAUUAGACUCUUAUUUUGGGGUAUGUAAUACUUAAAAGACAAAUGUUGUUUUUAUAUUUUGAAGUAAUAUUUAUGUGACUAUAUGGUAUACAUAUACUAAUUUAGUAUUAUGUUUUCAAUUUUUUGGGGGUCAAAUUAUGUUUUUCAUUUUCAUUAUUUAUUGAUUUAAAAUAUAUUUUUUUAACUGGUGUUGGGGGACUUUUAGGUCGAGGCGGACUUGGGCUUUGAGAACGUCACCCUUGGUGCAAGUUCGUGACAAGUCUGGGAUAUCUCGAAGGAGGUAGCUUGUCCUAGGAAACACCCUGGUAACAUCAACGGCUCAAAGAUAGCACAAAAGAUCAAGAUAAUGACUUGCUCAAGCAAAGCAUGGUGUGGAAGCUAGAAGAUUAUCGGUUUACAUGAGAGAAAGAAGGUUUGCAUGGUUGCAUGGCAUUCUUAGUUGCAUGUUUCGGGCUUUCCUAGGGUGAUAGCAAGGCUUCUAGUGGCUGAGAUGUUUGAUGGAGGGCUGUGGAAAUCACUACAAUUGCAUGAAUGGUGAUACUUGAAGCUUAGAGUAUGCAUCUGGACUAGAUGGAACUCUUUGGGCUUCUUCCUGGGUGGAAACAUCUUACUAUGUUUUGUCUAUCUCUCUCUAUGUAUUUCUCUCUGCGUUCUAACCUCCUCAUUUCUAAUAGCUUCUCCCCCUCUUUAGAUAGGUGAAGAGCUUCUCUUUAGAUUUCAAGAAAUAUCUCUUUGUGGCUUGGUCUUCCCCUCAUUUCUCCCUAGCUAUCCCAGUAUUUCCCUUUUGGUGUAAACUAGAUGCACUGUUUGAGUUAUGCAGAUUGCUGUUUCUUGAGAUGCAGCUUUCCUAGGGCGGCCUUCCGCAAGCGCUAAAUCUAGUAGCGCGCUUCUGGGCUUUUGUGCAUUCGCUGUCUGUGCAGGCUGGGAAUGGAAAGUCAGCAUUAAAUGCCUGACUUGCUAAGCUUGACAUGCAUUUAAUGUAAGAAUCUAGUUUAAUUCUAAUUAAGGGGAUUGGCUUACUAGGGAAAUGGAUAAACUAGGCUAGCUCUCAUUCCCAAUGAUGCCUGCGUGAAAUACAAAGGGUAUAGGCUUGGAUCUUUAGGCUCCUAAGCAGCCCAAAGUCUUCCAUGACCCUAAUUCCACAUAGGCCCGAUAACCUUAUGUAAUCAUCCACACCACAAUCCACUUAGCAAGUCUCGAAUAUGUGACUUGGGCUUAGCGUGAAUAUUGACUAAGGAGGCAUGGCGUGAUGAAUAAUACGUGAGCAUGGUGUGAGUAUUCCGCUUAAUUCUUGUGGCAUGGCAUGCUUGUAAAUAUAUUCCUUGUUGGUCCCGUGCCUUGGCAUGUGCUUGGGCUUGAAUGUAGGCUUUGCAUGAUAAUUGGGCUUUGAGACUUGGUAGGAUCGAUGCGUGACAUUUUUAGGCCCCAACAACGAGUAAAUUGUAACAGGUCAGGUCAUAUUACCUAAUAAUAUUAACGGGUUGAUUUCGAAUCAGGUCAUAUUACCCGUUUACUUUAACGGAUAUUGCCUGACACGACCCGUUAAGAUAUUGGGUAUGUCACGAAAACGACAUGAACACGAAAAACACAACAUGAAUACCAGGUCUAAUGCUCGACACACAUUAGACCUUUGGAUGUUAUGAUAAUUUAGUGUCAGAAAUAAUAAUUUAGAGGUAGAAUAUUGUUGACUAUCACAUGUGCUAGUAUAUGCUUCAAAUAAUUUUAGAGGUACAAUAUUGUUAAAAAUUAUAAUGCUCUUAUUUGAACGGUGAUUUAUACAAGGGGAAACUUGAUAUAAGCAAUUUUUUUUAGCCGAUAGUAGGAAUAGUCCAAUUUAUUUAAAUAAGUCCAAUUCUUUAAAUUUAAUUAUUUAAUUAUCAAUAAUUAUCUAUUAAAUGAUAAGAUUUAUUAUUACUUUAGUCUAAAGAAAGGUUUGGAAUUGACACUGUAGAAAUGAAUAGUGUUUCAAUUCGAAUUUCAGAUUAAUUACUACCAUGCCAUUGAUCUUUCUGUUGGUUUUGGGUCAGCAGCCCAGCCUUCAGCCAGGCCCAAAUGUGUUGGUUUUAGCUGGGAAGCAAGGCCCUCAAUGAGGCCUAAAUUAUUUAACUACAUUUUUGCCCAUCUAGUGUAACAUCCCACAUCGCCCAGGGGAGUAAAUCAUGUAAGCCUUAUAUGUAUAUUCUCAUCUCUACCUAGCACGAGGCUUUUUGGGAACUCAAUGGCUUUGGGUUCCGUAGGAACUCCGAAGUUAAGCGAGUAGCUCGUGAGAGCAAUCCCAUGAUGGGUGACCCACUGGGAAGUUCUCGUGUGAGUUCCCAGAAAUAAAAUCGUGAAGGCAUGGUCGGAGCCCAAAACGGACAAUAUCGUGCUACAGUGGAGUUGAGCCGGGGAUGUGGUGAGGGCCCGGGUCGGGAUGUGACAUCUAGGAUUACAAUCUGAUAGUAGGGAUGGUUUAUUACGAAGGGCAAUUUUGUCCUCUCUGUUUUGGGCGAGAUAGGGGGUCACUGGUUAGGUAUCAUUUGCUGUCGUUCAAUUAGGGUUUCGGGAAGGGUCUGCGAGAGAGAGAUAGAUAGAGAGAGAGAUGGCGAUGGAAGAAGAGAGAGGGGGAGGGGUAGGGGUCUCGACACUGUUGCUGCAGAUGAGAGGGUCGGUAUGGUCAAAGAAAACCAUAUGGGUCGUCAGGAUUUCAGGGAGAUAGGGAAGGGGUCAUCAACAAACCCUACCGAGGGUAAGGUGUGCCGGAUCUUGCGUUGCAUGCCUCAAAUCCAAAGGUUAGUUCCUUUUUAAAAUUGUUUUCUUUAAUGGUGCCUUAGAUUUUCUAAUUGUUUAGUAUGUUAGGUCCAGUUUUAGGGGAUUUGUGAUUUUAUAGAGAGAGAUGGAUAGGGAGAUAGAGAUUGACAGAGGGAAGAAAAAGCAUGGUUGUGUGCAUUUUUUUGGGUUAAUUAAUGGGUUAGCGCACAGGGUCAGUGAGGAGAGUGACAAAGGGGUGUAUAGGAGGGUAUGGGUUUUCACUUUUUUGCUCUGAUUCAACAGGUUAUGCACUGUUUGAAAAUCAUUGUUUAUUGUUUUGUUUUCCGUUUGCUUUGUUAAAACCAUAUUUCAAUUUUUUUGGUUUCAUUGUGCUCAUUUAUGUGCUUCUUAAUAACUUCCUGGUGUUUGCUUCUCAUCCCUUUGUUGGUAGAUUUUUCCCCAUUUCUUGGUUCCUUAUGUAUUCCUUGGUACAAAUCUGUCUAAUUUUUGGCUAUGUGAUGAUCCUUGCAGGUGAGCUACAUUAAUGUUGUUUUGAAACACAGAGCUUCAUCCCCUCGAAUAUGCAAUUCAUAGUAGCAGCCUCACCCUUUCACUAUUAUCUGCUUAAAGCAAAACAUUUUUAUUAUGGCCUUGGUUUCUUGACAUUUUUAGGUAUAUAAUUUGCUAUACUUUUGUUUUGGUUACUUCAGUUAGAUGUAAUGUCACCUAACAUAGUAUAAUAGACAAAAUCACCAUCUCUGUUCUCUUCAAGAUAAUUUAUUUCGUAAUCCAACUUUGUUUGCAAGCUUUGUUUGCAAUAGUAUGUAUAAGCCAGAUCUCUUAUUUCCCUGCAAAUGAAUAGAAUUAAUGCAAUCCUCGGUCAAAUCAUUUAUCACAUUCAGACAAGUUCCCAAUUAUUUUUGCAUAUGAAGAAGACCAUCUUCACCAACACCGGAUUUAUCUGCAAACUUAAUUUUGAUCACCCCGAACUUAUUAAUCAAGAAGCCACUGUUUUAAUAAAAUUUGGCAUAAUCUUUAACAUGAAUAUAGAAGGAAAGAAUGGAUGUAUAUGUGUAGAAAUUAUGUUGGAAGGUUGGUUAAACUUAGGCUUAUUCUCAAGUAUAGUAUAAAUUCUUGGGUUAUUUGGAUUUCAGUAUUUAUCAAACUUUGCCUUGCUUAUGUAUUGAUCUCAUAACUGUCGCUUUCAUACAACAACCCAAAUAUGGAAUCUGCCAUCUGGAUUCUAUAUGGAAGUUGUGAAGCUUUUUUCCCUCAAAAUUUUGGUCUUUUUGUUUUUGUAUGUUGGUUUAAAACAAGGGUUAUUCUACAAAAUGGUCCCUGAGAUUUGCAUGAUCAAUAGAAAUGGUCCUUGAGAUUGAAAAUCAAUAUAAAUAAUCCCUGAGAUUGUCCACCAUCCAUGAUUUUGGUCAUUCCGUUAAAAACUCUUUGGGCAAUUUUCAAAGCUUCGUAACUUAAUUGAUUCUUAACCAAAUUUGACCCAUAAUAUAUAAAAAUGAAUAUAAGAAAGUGUAGAACAAGAUUAUACCUAUUUGGAAGCCCAAUGAUUUCCAGAGAUGGCUUGAAAAUAGCCUGAAAGGUGACUGGUCCGUGGGAAAACUGGAAAACUCGCCAGAAACUAAGUAAACUUUAAGCGUUCAUAACUUCUUCAAUACUCAACGAAAUCAAGUGAUUCAAAAAUGAAAAUCAUACUUCUCAAAGAUACGAAGAGAAUGGUAUCUUUCUUUACUACUAACUUGCCAUGAUUUAGCCGGAAAACUGCUCGAAAGUGGCUAACUCAAAAAUGGUUAGCCACAUUUGAGCCGUUGUUCAACCAAAACACAGCGAUUUAGCCUUCAAAAAAAGUACCAUUCUCUUCGUCUCAUCAAGAAGUAUUAUUUUCAUUUUUGAAUCACUCGAUUUGGUUGAGUAUUGAAUAAGUUAUGAAUUUUUAAAGUUUACCCAGUUUCCGGCGAGUUUUCCAGUUUUCCCAUGGACCAGUCACCUUUUAGGCUAUUUUUCGGCCAUCUCCGGCAACCAUUGGGCUUCUAAAUAGAUAUAAUCUUAUUCUCCACUUUCCUAUCUUCAUUUUGAUAUAUUAUGGGUCGAAUUUAAGAAACAAUUGAGUUACAAAGCUUUGAAAGUUGCCCAAAAUCGUUUUUAACUAAAGGACAAAAUCAUGGAUGUUGGACAAUCUCAGGGACCAUUUUGUAUAAUAACCCUUAAAACAAAUAAAAAGUUUUUGUAUUGGUAUUUUGCUUUUGUUCCUAAACAAUGGCAAUUUUUUACUUCUGAAAUGAUUGUCACCUUAUUAUUUGUUUAUGUGCCAGUGCCAAGUUCUGAUGGUGCUCAUUGCUCUAGGAAAAUUGGGAGGGGAAAUUUUCAUAUGCUUUGUGGAAUCUUUGAUGCAAUUAGCAUUUUAAAUUUGACCCCUCCCAUUAGUUUUUUUUUUUUCUGAUAAAUUCUGUUGCGAUCUAUGUGUGUUGCUGAUGAAAGAAGAUAAAGGUUUAGCCAUGAUUCUUAAUGGUCCCUGAAACUUGUUGAUGCACAAAAUCAGUGGGGAAUUUGGUAUAACAGAAAAUGUUAAGUUUGUGACCUUCGCUAGAUUGCUCCGGUCACUAGUGUGGAUAAGUAUGUAAAUGGACAGAGACAAGGAAGCAAACACAAGAUGUACGUGGUUCACCCAGAUUGGCUACGUCCACGGAGUAGAGAAGUUCUCAUUAAUUGUGAAGGGUUUACACAAGUACAUAGGUUCAAGCUCUCAUUUAGUGAGUACAAGUGAAUGAUUUAGUACAAAUGACAUUAGGAAAUAUUGUGGGAGAAUGAUCUCCUUUUAUAAAAGAGAGUUUCUAGUUUUGUUUUGACGUUAACACGUGUCGUGUUGUGAUUAGCUUCUGAUGUUGACACGUGUCGUGCUAUGAUUGGCUUCUGAUGUCGACAUGUGGUGCACUGUGAUUGGCCUUUUGGUUGGAGGGAAACUCUUUUGGGUCCUUGACGGUAUAACGUUGAUUAGUGCUUAGUAGUUUUGGGAUUGGUCAAGUAUGGUAUAAACAAAACUCAUGGGUACUUUCACUUACUAUGCAUACGGUGAUAAUUGUGGCUGAGGCUGUUAUGAUUCAUAACUAGGCAAUUUCCUCUCACAUUUCCUUUGGUUGUGUAAUGAUUUUCUUUUGUCCUAACUUCACUUGCCAUCAUAUGUUUAGGCUUGGGUUACCCUUGGUAGAGCAAAGUUAAACUUUGGGGAGGCUGAUAGUGCCAUUCAAAGCUUUGACAGAGCAUUAGCCAUCAAGGUACUGUUUCACCUUUCAAGAAAUUAUAAUUUGUACUUCUCAAACUUCUUACACUUUUUUAUGCCUCUUUGAGCCACUGACCUUAGGUGGAGUCUGAUACUGCAAUAUUAUGUACUAAUCUAAUAAACCCUGCAGCUUAUUCGUCUUCUUCAUGGGUAAAAUAACAUGACAGAAAGAAGCAGUAACCAGUUCACCCAUUCCCUUGAUGAUCGUUAUAAUCUUUGUUUUCUUAGUCUCCUCUAUGCCCUCCUCAUCAAGAAAGUUCUUAAACCUGUUCCCAUAUGUGUAUUGUUAAGUUGCUAAUUUAUAGAUUAACCUACUGUGAUUCUGUGCUUGAAGUCAGGCAUAUGGUUAGACUUCCAAAUUGAUGCCUUAGUAGCUUCAAUGCUUGCCUUAAAAUUACUAUAGGCAUAACUGUUACAGUUUGUUUGUACCAUACUUGACCAAUCCCGAAACUACCGAGCACCGGCCAACGCUAUACUGUCAAGGACCCAGAAGAGUUCCCCUCCGACCAGGAGGCCAAUCACUACUCGACACGUGUCAAGAUUAGAAGCCAAUCAGAGCGCAGCACGUGUCGACAUCAAGAACCAAUCAUAACAUGACACAUGUCAAUGUGACAAAGCUACAAGUUUUUCUAUAAAUAGGGGUCAUUCCCCCACAAUAUCGCCUAAUGCCAUUUUGUGUUAAAUCAUUCACAAGAACUCACUAAAUUGAGAGCUUGAUCCUUUGUACUUGUGUAAGCCCUUCACUACUAAUAAGAACUCCUCUACUCCGUGGACGUAGCCAAUCUGGGUGAACCACGUACAUCCUGUGUUUGCUUCUCUGUCUCUAUUCAUUUACGUACUUAUCCUCACUAGUGACGGAAGCAACCAAGCGAAGGUCACAAAACCUGACACUUUCUGUUGUACCAAAGUCUUCGCUGAUUUUGUGCAUCAACAUUUGGCGCCGUCUGUGGGAAACGACACUUAUUCCUACUCUCUUCAGCUGUGUCAAGCUGGUUUCUAUCAUUCGUACACUUUCUUUUGAUCUGGCAUCCCUCUCCAGCAUGGGAAGCGAAGGAAGCCACAGCACACAGAAUGACACCCCCCUUGCACAUAGUGCGAAACAACGAAAGAAGGAAGGAAAACGAGUUAUUCUUCAAGCUAAAGUCGAUGAGUUGGAAGCUUAGAACAACAAGAUAGCAAUGAGGAAUGAGGUCCUCCAGGAGCAAUAUGAGAAGCUCUUCGAGACACUUCACGAAGCUAGGCAAGCUCAGACACGCGAGCUUGUUGCCCCCGUGGAAGUCAACCAUCAACUGGGUGCCCUCCAACAUGGAGGGUCACAUGCAUUCGACAUAGAUAUCCCUGAUAGGGAACAAAUUACCCCUCGAUUUGAUAAUCAACAUGAGGCUUCUCUUAACCCAGUUGCUUCGACCCGAACCAUGAGAAGCGGAGGGAGACACCUCUUUGCUGAAGGGGCAGAAGGAUCGAAAGCUGUCUUUCGCGAUUGUCGGGAUUUCCUGAAGCAACGUCGAGAGAAUUCCAUCCAUAUAAGCUCAAAGAUCAAUGACCCAAGGAUUUCUGAGAGACUCGGUCCCCUGCCACGGCCCGAGCCGGCCACCAACUUGGGGAAGGGGCAACAAGUCCUAGAGAGACAUGAGGGUACAGGGGACUCAGAGGUGUUCCGACAGACAUACCCUGGAAGCCAGUACAGCGAGUCCAGGGAAAAAAUCACAUGCCCUUGAUCAAACCUUCCUAAUUCCAAGAGGAGAUGGAGAUUUACGAAAGAAAGCUCCAGUGGCACAUAACUCCGCUCAGGACCCCCCUUGUCCUACAACUUCUUGAGGAAGUAAACAAGUUGAAGGCUGAACGUCAGGCUAAAAUACCUGACUGGAACCAACCCAGGCCUGGCCCUCUUACAAGGAGGAUCCUCAACACCCCCCUUCAAGCAAAGACAAAGCAGAAGCUUGGCUUGCAACUUUAUACUGGGAAAGAGGACCCGAUUGAGCACCUUAACCUCUUUGAGUCCACCAUGGCAUACCGGAUGCACACCGACGAAGAGCGAUGUCUUCUCUUCCCCUCCACCCUCUCUGGCGGAGCUCUAAAUUGGUAUUGUCGUCUUACACCUGAGACGGUAGACUCAUUUGAGGAAUUGAGGAAACUAUUUGUUUCCCAACACAUUUUCCAAACCGAUCGCUUGCACUCUGCAGAUGACCUGUACACUAUCCGCCAGAAGCCAGACGAGUCAUUACGUAUGUAUGCUGGCCGCUUCAGCCAUGAAUACUCCCGGUGUGCCGAGGCAGACGACAAGACUGCCCUCAAAGCCUUCACGGCAGGCCUACGUGAUUGUUUCUUUAAAUACAUGAUCAAUGUCAAUACUUGGAAGACUUACUCUGAGGUGAUGGCGCAGGCUUAUAACCAUGCCUCCGCCGAGGCAAAGACAUAUCAGGAGAAACCCCCUACAACCAUCCUUUAUCAACAAGUGGGAGGUGGAAGCCAGACUCACCUAAAUGAGAAGACCUCGACUUUCCAAACAGCAGUGGCACCUCCCCAUGCCGUGCAUAAUGCUUCACCGAAUCAACAGACAUAUCAAUUUCAAGGCAAGAGGAAGGAUUUCCAUCCUCACCACUCUCCUUCCAGUAAAAAGAGUAAGGGACACUAUCCCGAUAACCAAGGGUAUCGCCACAAUAACGCUCGCCCCCAGGCAGUCAAUGCAGUGGGUCAAACCCGCGUCAAGAUACCCCCUACCCCAAGGUAUGAGACAUACACGCCCUUGAAUGCCACAUGCGCGGCCAUUUACCCCAGCAUAGCUCACCUGAUACCAAAGCCAAAGCCGAGGCACCCAGAUUACACGCCCCCGAAUAACGCGGGCAUGUUUUGUUGCUACCAUGAGCAUAACGGCCAUGAUAGCGAGAAAUGUAUCAUCCUCCGUGAUCGUAUUGAAGCUUUGGCACGAGAAGGAAAAAUUGAUCAAUUCCUCCUUCACCCUCAAAGGGAUAACCGUAACCAACGCCAGGUGAAUGUCAUAUAUAUUCCAUAAGCGGCGGCACACCCCAUAUCUGAAUCUUCCAAUAGGGCCAUGAAAAACAGUGAACGAAUUCUGAGGCCUGGUCACCAAGUGUUUCACGUGGAAGACAUCAGGGGAGGGAAGUAUCAAAAGCCUAACUGGGAUCCGAUAUGUUUCUACCCUGAGGAAGAAAGAGGCAUCAUCUACCCUCAUAACGACCCAUUGAUCGUGGAGGCUCACAUAGCCAACUUUGAUGUUCGACGAAUCCUCGUAGACACAGGGGCUUCGGUCAAUAUCAUGUUUGCCGAAGCUUUCAGGGCACUCAGUGUAGCUGAACACUUGCUCGAUCGCUCGAUUUCUCCUCUGAUAAGCUUCUCCGGUGAUAUCGUGCAACCCUUAGGGAGCAUACAUUUACCCUUUACUAUUGGUACAGGCCCUUACACGGCUACCAUUACCACUAACUUCCUAGUGGUUGACUGCCCAACGGCAUACAAUGUCAUCUUUGGGCGCACAGGCAUCAAUGAUCUCAAGGCUAUAUGGUAUCCACGCAUAUGCUGUUGAUGAAAUUUCCAACCCCCAUGGCAACGACUACAUCAGAGGAGAUCAGCUUACUGCACGAUCAUGUUACAACACUUCAGUUAAGCAACAACACUUGCCCGGACCCAAGGAAACCCUGUCUGUACAUGACCAAGUCACAAAGACCAGCCUAGAUGAAGCGAACUUGGAUCUUCCUGAUAGCAACAAUCAACCCGAUGAUCCUCGAGAUGACUCUUUCACCCAGCAAGCCCAACCUGCUGAAGAGUUGGAGAAGGUACCUAUCUCAAGAGAUUAUCCAGAUCGCAUGGUGAAGAUUGGCACCACAUUGUCACCACCCCUUCGGUUAGCAUUGAUAUCUUUUUUGAAAGAGAACACUGAAGUCUUCGCCUGGUCAUACGAGGACAUGCCAGGCAUCUCUCCCGAUGUCAUCUGUCAUCGUUUGAGUAUUGACCCCAAGAUCAAGCCGGUGAGACAGAAGCGAAGAUCUUAUGACGCUGAACGAUACGAGGCAAUGAAAGCAGAAGUUGAAAAACUCAAAGGCAUAGGCUUUGUCCGCGAAGUCAAUUACCCGACAUGGGUAGCAAAUGUGGUCCUUGUUAGGAAAAAUCCGACCAAAGAAAGUCUUUCGCUUCAAAAGGUCUUGUGGAGGAUGUGUGUUGACUACACCGACCUAAAACAAAGGGUGUCCGAAAGAUAGUUUCCCUCUUCCUCUUAUUGACAGGCUUAUAGACUCUACGGCAGGGUGUGAGCUCUUGAGCUUUAUGGACGCUUAUUCAGGAUACAACCAAAUCCUCAUGAACCCCUCAGACCAAGAACACACGGCCUUCACUACUGACAGGGGACUAUAUUGCUAUAAAGUCAUGCCUUUCGGCCUAAAGAAUGCAGGAGCAACUUAUCAGAGACUGGUCAAUUCAAUGUUCGCCGAACAAAUUGGGAAGAACAUGGAAGUUUACGUUGAUGAUAUGCUAGUCAAAAGCAAACAUGCUGACCAACACAUCACCAACCUAUCUGAAACUUUCACCAUUCUAAAGAGGUAUCGAAUGAGGUUGAACCCCAACAAAUGUGCCUUCGGCGUGGGCUCUGGCAAAUUCUUAGGCUUCAUGAUUAGCCAACGAGGCAUUGAAGCUAACCCUGAAAAGAUCAAAGCAAUCCUCGACAUGAAAGAGCCAAUAACUUCAAAAGACAUCCAAAGCCUUACUGGCAAGGUGGACGCCUUAACCAGAUUCAUCUCUAAGGCCACAGACAGAUGUGCUCCUUUCUUCAAAGCACUCAAGGGAAAUAAGAAGUACAUUACAUGGACGGAGGAAUGUGCCAAGGCAUUCAGGAACCUCAAAGAGUACAUGAGUAAAGCCCAUCUGCUCUCCAAACCAGAAGUUGGUGACACUCUCAUCAUCUAUCUAUCGGUUUCGGCUUCAGCAGUCAGUUCUGUUCUUAUUCGAAUGGACAGUGGUGUCGAACGGCCCGUCUACUACGCUAGCAAGGCCCUACAAGAUGCGGAGACACGAUACUCCAACAUUGAGAAAUUAGCUCUAGCAUUGGUCAUGUCUGCUCGGAAACUUCGCCCUUAUUUCCAAGCACACGCCAUCAUCGUGCUUACCAAUCACCCUCUUCGACAGAUACUCCAGAGUCCUACACGUCUGGACGAAUGAUCAAAUGGGCGAUAGCAUUGGGUGAGUUUGACAUCUCCUACCAACCAAAACCAGCCGAAAAAGGCCAAGCAGUAGCAGAUUUCAUCGCCGACUUCACAUAUCCUGUUGACAUUGCUUCUACACCUAAAGCAGUAGCUUCAUUACCAUCGAAAGCUCAGAAGAUAGAACCAACAACCCCAGCAUGGAGUCUGUAUGUUGAUGGCUCAUCCAACCAACAAGGCUGUGGAGCGGGACUAGUCUUGACUACGCCCGACAAAGUAGCAAUGGAGUAUGCUCUUCGUUUCAAAUUCAAGGCAUCAAACAAUGAGGCCGAGUAUGAAGCCCUUCUAGCAGGAUUACGUUUGGCCAAACACCUCGGGGUUAAACAAAUUGAUAUUUUCAGUGACUCCCAAUUAGUGGUCAACCAGGUUACCAACAACUUUGAUGCUAAGGACAGCUCCAUGGCAGCAUAUCUUGCGCAAACACAACUUUUGCUCAAACACUUCCACUACCAGAUCACCCAAGUUCCUCGAGCGGCAAACAGUCAUGCAGACGCCCUGGCUCGCCUCGCCUCAGCUGUGGAAGACAAGAUUGGAAGAAAAAUUNCUGGAAGUACUUUUUCUCCAUCCAGGGGUGGUAUCUUUAACCGAUGAAGAUGCACAAGGUAAUGUAUCAAUUUCACUUGAAGCUUAGUUGUAGUUUUGGGCUUGGUCAAGUGCGAUACAAACCCUAUAGUAGGAGUCCCCUAAGUCGCCGAGCUAGGAGAUUUUCGGAAUGAGGUAACAGACAAGGUAAGCAAUCAGACUUCCAAGCAAGCAACCUAGAUCGGAGGUUCGACUUCAGCUUCCGGUUGAUUGUUCUCCUUCUUCUUGUGUUGUAAACAGCAACAAAGAUAAGGAGAAGCAAAUGGAGAAUAAAUGAUAUGAGAUACUUUUGCUUUUGAAGAAGUAACUUUCCACCAGUUUAUUCUUGAACUGGGCUGGAGGGUUUUCUGGUUUCCUCUAGAGUAUAAGGCUGACUCAAGAAUUUAAGGGUCAAAACAAGUCCAUCAAAUCUGGAGUACGUUCGACCCUGAUGAUAUGGGAUACUUUUGUUGUUGACAAAGUAGUGGAUGUAUCGACACGUGUUCUGUUACGCUUGUCUCCACAUGCUUCCUUGUAUCCUUCUCACUUGCCCUAUCUGUUCCUCAGGCAGAUAUGGUAUCUUCUUUGGAAGCAUAAGAUGUUGAAGAUGAGUACUCAAGAGCAAUGCCAGGUAAGUAAUCAGGCAAGGGGUUACAGGCAAUCAGUUUCUAACUGGAAGCUUGAUUCCAAGUGCUGACUGAUUGCUCUCUUUCUCCUUGUCUUACAGGUAAGAACAAGGCCAAAGGAAAAGACAGGGAAAAAGCAUGAUAUGGGAUACUCUUGCUUUUAACCGUGAUGAUAUGAGAUACUCUUGCUCUGGUGUGGCUUGUUUGCAGAGGUAUUAUGGGGAGGAAAAGAAGCUGAGUAUUUCGAGAAACUCUGCUGAGAGUGCCCUCUCGGAUGUGAGGAAAAGUUGAGCAUUUUUUUUUAUUUGCAGGUCUGCCUGGCUAUGGAGGAUGAAGGUCGACAUAUAUAAGAGUCUCCUUAAUAACAAGUAGUAGUGCUAUUCCUUUACCCUUCUUGGUCAUAGCAAUGUAGUGGGAGCUGCAAGCUUCACGUGUUUUAACUUUGUCAGAGCACUUUGAAAAACUGGUAUGUGGUAUCUGAAAAGCUGAUGUUGCGUGUGAAGAUUGCAGACAAGCUUUAUCCAAGGAAAUCUGGCUCUCGAAGUUCGAAAAGCAGUGCCUCUUCGAUUUUUGAACAAGCAAUCCUGUCAGGGAUCUUACUCUCGAGAUUCAGAUAACGGUGCCUCUUCAAUUUUUGAGAAAGCAAUCUUGUUGGGAGUCUGACUCUUGAGAUUCGGAGAACAGUCGAUUUUUUAGAAAGUAAUCUUAUUGGGAGUCUGGCUCUUGAGAUUCGGAGGGUGGUGCCUCUUCGAUGUUUGAGCACGUAAUCCUAUUGGGAGUCUGGCUCUCGAGAUUUGGAGAAUGGUGCAUCUUCGAUUUUUGAGAAAGCAAUCUUGUUGGAAGUCUGACUCUCGAGAUUCGGAGGGCGGUGCCUCUUCAAUUUUUGAGCAAGCAAUCUUAUUGGGAGUGUUUUCUCGAAUGUGAGUAAAGGUUUGACAUUUUUGCCAGUCUGCCUUGCCACGGAGCAUGAAGGUUGACACACAUUGAGACUUUCUAGUUAUCAAGCAGUGGUGUUGUUCCUUUACCUUUGUGGGUAAUAGUAGGGUAGCUGGACCUUCAAAAUUUAUAUGUCUAAACUUUGUCAGAGAUUUUUGGCAAAGUUAUCUGUGGUACCCGAGGAGAUGAUGUUGCAUGUGGAAAGUGGUCUCUAUUCGGAAUCCGGAGAGUGGUGCCUCUUCGAUUUUUGAACCAACGGCCCUGUUGCCUUUUCUUUUAUAAGGGCACCAAUUUGUGCUAGAAGUACAUUUAGAGAGUUAUUGCUUGUAGGAAUUUUCCCCUUACUUCAGAGAUUUAUUGCACCUCAUUUCUCAUUCAUCAUUUCUGAGAAUGUCUGGCUCAUCCGACCAUUGUUUUGACUUGAACUUUGGUGAAGAGGCAGCCAUGCCUUCUUAAGACAACAUAUGACGCCCAUCUUUCUUAUCCCCUACUGGUCCUCUUACCGUUGGGGACUCUAUGAUGAAGAAUGAUAUGACCGCUGCGGUGGUGGCCAGGAACCUUCUCACUCCCAAAGAUAACAGACUACUUUCCAAACGGUCUGAUGAGUUAGCUAUUAAGGAUUAUCUGGCUCAAAGUGUUCAGUGUGCAGGUUCUGUGUCUAAUAUGGCCCAACGCCUAUUUGCUCGAACCCGCCAAGUUGAAUCAUUGGCAGCUGAAGUGAUAAGUUUCAAACAGGAGAUCAAAGGGCUCAAGCAUGAGAAUAAACAGUUACACAUGCUCGCACAUGACUAUGCUACAAACAUGAAGAGGAAGCUCGACCAGCUGCAGGAAUCUAAUGGUCAAAUUUUACUUAAUCAUCAGAGAUUUGUGGGUUUGUUCCAAAGGCAUUUAUUGCCUUCGUCUUCUGGGGCUGUACCGCGUAAUGAAGCUCCAAACGAUCAACAUUUGGUGCCUCAUCUUUCUGGGGUUCUGCCUAGUACUAAGGCUCCGAAUAACCACCCUCUGGUGCCUCCUAAUUCUGGGGCUCUCCCGACUACUGAGACUUCUCCUGAGCAACCUUUGUGAAGGCUCCCUCUUGUUUGUUUAUUUUGAUUCAUGUAUAUGUACAUAUUUGUAACUUAUCGGAGAUAUCAAUAAACAAGCUUUGCUUCAUUUCAACGUAUUAUGUUAAAUACACCAAGGCCUUCUUCAUUAAGUUCUUUGAAUUUUUCCUUUUGUUGAAUCUUGUAUGUUGAAGCUUUAUGAGUGAAGCCUGUAUGUUGAGGUAGUGCUCCCUUAAUUUCCCGAGUGAGGAAAACUGCUUGGUUGGAGACUUGAAAAAAUCCAAGUCACUGAGUGGUCAUGAGACUUCUGAGUAUCAAGGUACAGUAGCAUAUGGUAGGAGUCCCCCAAGUCUCCGGUCAAGAGAGUUGACGAAUAAGGUGUCUUGCUAGUAGCCAAGUUUCCAAAGUAACAAAAUUUCACCAUUUUCCUUUCUAAGUGGCAACCCAAAACUCCGAAUAUAUAUUUAUUUUUUUUUUUCAAAUAAGAGGAGCCUAGGCAAUUUAUUUAUUUAUUUAUUUUUUCAAAUUUUCAAAUUUUUGAAUUUUUGAAUUUCCGAAUAUAUAUAUAUAUAUAUAUAUAUAUAUAUAUAUAUAAAGCUUUGUAGGUGAAGUUUUGAGGUUGAAACUUUGUUGGGUACCAUGAAUUGAUUUUGCUUCACACUAUCUUGUCAAGAUAAUGUGAAGCUUUUGAGAAUUUGUAGUUGUCCUCCAUUGAUGAAGCAAUUUGUAGUUGUCCUCCAUUGAUGAAGCUUUUGUUGGUGAAGCUUUUGUGGUGGGGGAAGCUUUUGUGGGAGAAGCUUUUGUGGUGUGAGACUUUUGUGAGUGAAGCUUUUGUUGGUGAAGCUUUUAUGGGUGAAUCUUUUGUAGGUGAAGCUUUUGUGGUGGGUGAAGCUUUUGUGGGUGAAGCUUUUGUGGUGGGUGAAGCUUUUGUGGGUGAAGCUUUUGUUGGUGAAGCUUUUAUGGGUGAAGCUUUUGUAGGUGAAGCUAUUGUGGGUGAAGCUUUUGUAGGUGAAGUUUUUGUGGUGGGCGAAGCUUUUGUGGUGGGUGAAGCUUUUAUGGGUGAAGCUUUUGUAGGUGAAUGAUGAUGCACAAAAUCAGUGAGGACUUUGGUACAACAGAAAGUGUUAAGUUUGUGACAUUCGCUAGAUUGCUCCGGUUACUAGUGUGGAUAAGUAUGUAAAUGGAUAUGGACAGGGAAGCAAACACAAGAUAUACGUGGUUCACCCAGAUUGGCUACGUCCACGGAGUAGAGGAGUUCUCAUUAAUUGUGAAGGGUUUACACAAGUACAUAGGUUCAGGCUCUCAUUUUGUGAGUACUAGUGAAUGGUUUAGUACAAAUGACAUUAGGAAAUAUUGUGAGAGAAUGAUCUCUAUUUAUAGAAGAGAGUUUCUAGUUUCAUUCUGACAUUGACAAGUGUCGUGUUGUGAUUAGCUUCAGAUGUUGACACGUGUCGCGCUAUGAUUGGCUUCUGAUGUCGACACGCGUCGAGCUGUGAUUGGCCUCCUGGUUGGAGGGAAACUCUUCUGAGUCCUUGACUGUAUAACGUUGACCGGUGCUCAGUAGUUUCGGGGAUUGGUCAAGUAUGGUACAAACAUACUUUAAUCUUCUCCCGGGUCCCCAAUUACAACAAAAAUCAGAAUUGUAUAAAUAUUAAGAACACAAUGAAACUGAAAAAAUUAUAUGGUUCUGGAAGGUAUACAAAAAGUUUCCCCUUCUUUCGUCUUAAAUUUGUUUUGCAGCUUUAUUUCGGCUCAAGUUUCAUUUUCUUUCGUCUAGGAAAUUUUUAUAGCCUGAAAUUUCAAUGGAACUGAAAUAGGGAGAGGAGGACAACCCAAAUUUCUGAAUGAUCCCACUGCUUCUGGUGUACGAAGAUAUGAAGAUUUGCCAAUUGAUGAACACAGAGGAGAAACAGAUUUACCUUCUUUCGAUUUAACCACCUUGGUAGCAGCCACAGAAAACUUCUCUUAUGCUAACAUGCUUGGCCAUGGCGGCUUCGGCAUGGUAUAUAAGGUACUUCCCCUAGAACAUUUUGAGAUCUGUGCAUUAUGUGGCUUCGGCAUCUCUGUUGUCAUUAAGAUUUUCGAGUCUGCACCAUGAUUUCAGGGAUGUCUAGCUGAUGGACAAGAAAUAGCUGUUAAAAGAUUAUCGAGAAAUUCAGGACAAGGCAUAGACGAAUUCAAGAACGAAGUAAUGCUUAUUGCAAAGCUUCAGCAUAGAAAUCUUGUGAGGCUUUUGGGUUGCUGCAUACAUAAAGAAGAGAUGAUGCUAAUCUAUGAAUACAUGCCAAAUCGUAGCUUCGACUUAUGCAUUUUUGGUAUGCCAUCUUUACACACUGCUAUUAAAUACUUUAAGUUUUCUGACAUAAACCCUGAAAUUAAGAAAUCAUAAACUUGUAGAUAAUAGAAGCUUUUAUGUGUGGUGUUCAGAUAAAAACGGAAAUUCGUCGUUAGAUUGGAGAAAAAGGUUUCAAAUUAUCAUUGGGAUUGCUCGAGGCGUCCUAUAUCUUCAUCAAGAUUCGAGACUAAAAAUAAUCCACAGGGAUUUGAAAGCGGGCAAUGUUUUACUCGAUGGUUCAAUGAACCCAAAAAUAUCAAAUUUUGGCAUAGCAAGAAUGUUCGGGGAUGACCAAAUUGAAGCAAACACGAACAAAGUUGUUGGCACCUAGUAAUUGUCUCAUCUCCCUUGAAAAAAAAAAUUCAAGUAGAACCAAUAUUUUUUUUUACUCAUAUUGUGUAAUUGCAGCGGUUACAUGUCACCGGAGUAUGCUAUGGAUGGGCUAUAUUCCACAAAAUCCGAUGUGUUUAGCUUCAGAGUCUUGACACUAGAGAUCAUUAGUGGAAGGAAGAAUACCUUCCAAUUUGAAAACUCAUCUCUAAAUCUAGUUGGACUAGUAAGUAAACAGAUAAUUUUUCAACCGAUGAAUCUAACUUUCGAGUAGUCCAAUGAUCUAAACUUUGUGCUCAAAAUUGUUUCAGAUAUGGGGCUUGUGGACAAAAGGAAAAGUCUUGGACAUAAUUGAUUCAUCAUUGAACCAGUCGUAUUCGACUCCUGAAGUUAUGAGAUGCAUUCAGAUUGGGCUCUUGUGCGUUCAAGAAUACCCAACAGACCGGCCAACCAUGCUAGAUGUUGUGUUCAUGUUGGGGAAUGAAACUACUCUUCCACGUCCGAAAAAGGCAGCAUUUAGCUUGAAAAACAGUGGUCCGGAUUGUUCAACGUCUAAAGAAGCUCCUUCUGUAAAUGAUGUAACAGUAGCAGUUAUUGAAGCUCGUUGAGUUUGCACUUUGCCAGUUCUUGUAGAGAUUUUGUGUUACUUCUCAAGUAUUUGUACUCAAAUCGAGAUUCCUUGUGUAGAGAAGGCAAUGCCUUUGAAAUUGUCGAUUCAUCUCUGGACGGAUCGUACCCUAUCAACGAAGUUGUGAGAUGUAUCUAAAUUGCCCUCUUAUGUGUGCAAGAGUAUUUUGGAUAUUAUACUUUAAUCCAACGGCUAAUAGGUCACUAUAGUUAUGGAAUGUAAGUAGGAUUAGAGUUUAACUUGGACUCCAAGUAAAGAUAAUAUUCCGGUUAUUCUUGAAGAAUAAGAGUUCUUGAUACUAUCCUAUUUGGAUUGAGGUUUGGUAGAUUAUUUGUUUGUACAAUAAGGCAUCCUAAUGACAUCAGAACAGAAUCCUAAUGACAUCAUUAUGGGAUUAUGCAUUCAGUUUUUUUUUUUUUUUUUUUGAAUAAACAAUAUUAUUUACACUAAGAGGUUGGGAGUAGGGUAAGCCUCAAAAUGGGGUUCAAAUUCACCUUUGACAAUAAUCAAACCUUAAACCUCUCAAUUACCAGUGAAGAUCGGAAUAUUACUAAACCGUAGUAAGUGACGAGAGAAUGCAUUAGGGUUAAGUUAGUAUAAAUGCUAAACAUAGGUCCCUGCACAUACCUCUGAAACACAACUCAAAAGAAUUCCCCAUAGGUUUGAGGUAUACUGACACGCCCCAACCCAAAUAUCCUAAUGAUACCUGCAUGGCACGUGCUGACCGACACUCGGAAGUGACGAAAGCCAUAAUUCCAUACAAGCACAAGAAAAUAUCAGCACCUGAAGAUCAAAAAUAAUAAACAAUAACAAGAUCCUGAAUUAAACAUAAGGGUAUCGGAAAGUUCAAUGAUCAUAGAUUCGAAACAAAAGAAAUACAAAUAUGUCCAGAGCAUACUACUACACGGAACUACAAGUGCAAAUAAGAAUUCAGAUUACAAUUCAGCAAGAAAAUCAUACCCAAAUGGAAGAGCUCAAAGUCACUGGUAGGGAAAUACCUCGACACUCGGGUCGUACUCCUCGUCACAAGGUCCUAAGUGGGCACAAAACAGAAAAGGUGAGUGGACCAUAGUUAUAUUUAUACUAAUACUAUUCAAACCCAAAUUCUUUCUUAACAUAAUAACCCCCUGCUUUGAAAACAGAUAUAAUACUACGUAUAGGUUUUUCUAAAACUCUAGCAUGCUAGAAAAGUUUGUAACCAUAAAAUCAUCUCUAAAACAUGCAUCUCGAAAUGCCCGAAGGCAAAACCAUAAAUCCCAUCAAAGUUGUAUUCUCUAGGGGUAUCAUAGUCGCCCGAAGGCAGUACCUGUCCAUCGUCCGAAAGCGAAGCUGUACGACACUGGGUUACGUCAGUCAAGAAACAUGGUAGGCCCCAUCACCCGAAGGUGAAGCUAUACUACUCCGGGUUACGCUGGAGAAUAAACUCUAUAACAUCUCACAUUGACACUAGUUGUGACUAGUGAAGCUGUCCGACACUGCUUUUGGCAAUGAAACUAGGGGUAUAACAUAUAUCCCACUCCUCCUCAUCACAGUGUCCUAUGACCAUAGACAUCUAAUACCCGUGUUGUGUGGAUGUGUUGUAUGAUAACUCACUAGAUAUAUAUACCCAAAAUAUAACUCAAAUCUCAAAGCUCAAGUCAACAACUCAAAUCAUUCUCAUAAACCACAAAUCCAUAAUAUAUCAUAAAUCCGCAAUAUCUCAUAAGGCAUAAAAGAAAUAGUCGUAAACCUUUUCUAAGUGUGAAAUCAAUAGUUAUAACAUUUCAUAAAAUGUAAUUUAAAUAAAUCAUAAUAUAGAAAUUCGUAAAGCAAAGUAUAAUAUAAAACGUAUUCAAAUCAGGUAAUAUGAAUUUGCAUGCUAGAUGGUUAAUUAUAAAAUAUACAUUUGAUAAGGGGUCCACUCACAAGUACUCCGCUCUCGGGGAGCUGCUCGAAUUAGGGAGAACUGGAUCAUCUUCCAUCGGUGCACCUAUACACAAAAUAGAGACUAUUUAAUAAAACGCUAAAGCGAUUGAAUUUGUGAAAACGGAGUGUAGAUUUGGAAUCAGAAUGUCGAAAUUAGUCUAGAAGGGUCCCGAUCGAAAAACUCGAAAAAGUCGACGGUCAACGUUGACCAUAAAGUCAACGGUCAAUGGGUCACAGUCAACGGGUCAAAUGGGUUGGACAUGUUUGGUUGGGUUGGGCCGAGGGUCUUUGGGCCGGGUUAAGUAAAAGGACUUGGGCCUAUUUUAAUUUUAAGUUUUGGGCUUAUGCUAUGAAAUAAAAGGGCGGGCUUAGCCCGUUGUGGGCUAAAUCAUUUGGGCUCUGGGCUGAGUUGGCAUGCGGGUUGGGACGACACGAGUUACUCGUGGGUCACCGGACCCAUCGAAAGAGAACACCGGCUUUUUGGCCGGAAAUUCUCCCAACUUCGAUCUGGGGUUAAACUUGCUGAAAAAUCACAAUUCAAACAUUAAACAAUGAUGCUGGAACCUGUCGGGUCAGAAUUGGCUUGACCGUGUCAGAAUUGGCCGGGAUUCGUCACGAAACCCGUCGGGUUUCCUCGCCGGAUUCUGGAAAAAGGAAACAGAGUGCAUGCAUAAUAAAUCUCAAUGAUCUUCCACCAAAAUUCACAUGCAACAAGGUAUCUAGUGACCUAGGGUCGUGUCCAAUUGAUUUCGAUUGUCAACACCCUCAAAAUCGCCGGAAAAAACCACGGGUUCACCGUCGACAUCUGAGACCAAAAGAGUAGGUGCAUGCAGAGAGUUAAACCCCAGAUUUUUCCACAUAAUACUCGUCUAGAUGGAUUAGAAACCAACACAACCAAGAAGGAAAAAUAGUUCAUACCUGCGAUGACAAUUCAAGAGAGUUCAAGCUCUCAGUGUCAAUGGCAGAGUACGUAAAAGUGCACAGAUGCCACAUGCAACCUUACAGGUGAGUUCCCUAGGUCCUAAAGAUUCGAAGUUCAAGUUUCUAGAAGUUGGUUUGGUCCUUCUCGGAUAUAGAGAGUGAAUGCAGAAAAGAAUUAGGAAGAAGAGAGAGUGUUCAGAUAGUGGGGGAUCACGGGAGAGGGAAGGAAUAAUGGGUUGGGUUUUGGGCUUGUCACAGCCCAAAGAACUGGACCAAUUUGAUAAAACCCAACACAUGGGCAAAUUCGUAAUUUUACACUUAAAUUUUUACGGUGGGUUGUUACUAGGGAUGGGCAAAAUACCUAUGGGUUUGGGUAACCACGGUUAUCCGUCCAUUUAAAGCUCACGGUUAUGGUUAUGGGUAACUGUUUGGAUGAAUAAACGGUUAUGGGCAUAACUGUUUAUCCGUGAAAUUUAAAUGGGCGAUUAUGGGUAUUACCCACGGUUAUAACGGGUAUCCAUCAGUUAUGGUUAUUACCCGCGGUUAUAACGGAUAUCCAUUUACCCAUUUAAUUUAAUAUAUGUAAAAUUAAAAAAAAAAGUAAAAACCCUAAAUUUUCAAUCUUUUCAUGAAACUCAGAGUCUUAAACGCCCCGUCCCCGCUCAUCUCUCCCUCCUUGCUGCCCUCUCUCUCAUCUCCGAACCGAUCCCAAAAGUUUCGGCUUGCGAUUCGGCCACAUCUUUAAAAGUGUUCGGUAAUCCCGAACCAACCGAAUAUUUUAUAUAUAUAUAUAUAUAUAUAUAUAACAUAGGCAUAUAUAAAAUUAGAAGGCAUACAUGAUACUGAAGCAGAAAACUAUAUAUUAUAUAUAUGUAACAUAGGCAUAUAUAAAAUUAGAAGACAUACAUGAUACUGAAGCAGUAAACAAAAUGUUAAAAGGGAUUUCGGGUUUAAUACAGCUCUUCCAAGCAACUCUGCCCUCUCUCUCGCUUAUGUCGCCCUCUUCUGAUUCCUCACAUUGUACGAUUCAUACCUAUCAAAACUAUCUUUCAAAGACUGAGACUAUAACGGUGUUUAAUUGUCAGAAAAUAAAAAUUAUGACAAAUUUUUCUUUUAUAAUUUUCAAGUUGUUAAAAAAAAAACAUGUAGAGGGUGAAAAAAGGGUAAAUGGGUGAAAAAGGAUAAACGGGUUCAAAAAUAGGUAAACAGGUAAACGGUUAUGGUUAAAUAGGUAAACGGUUAUGGGUAUGGUUAAUUGUUUAUAAACGGUUAUGAGUAUGAGUAUAAUCGUUUAUGUAAUUACCCAACAGGUAAACGAUUAUGGGGGUAUGAAUAUAAACGGUUAUGGGUAAAUAACCGCGGUUACCCGCCCGCCAUAACCGUUGCCCAUCCUUAGUUGUUACCUAUACAAUGGUGGUGAGUGUGCAAAAGGCCUUGCUUGUGUUCUUAGUGUGUUCGUGUGCUUGCUGCAGUUCGUGGCUUGCUCUGCUGUCGAAAAUGGUUUCUCCAGGCUAGUAUUUUCAUGCUGUUUUUAUUCACAUGCACAUAUUAGGAUUUACAGAGUAUGCAACUGAGCGAGCGGCCAACAAUGUCGGCUGUCAUUUUCAUGCUAUGUAAUGAAGCAGUAGCUUCUUCAAUAAAACAACCAGCAUUUUUAUUAGAGUUGUAACAGUGGGGACCCAUCACCACAGUAUUGAAGGAGAUAAUUCUGUAAAUGAUGUGACUUGUAGUAGCGUAGAACCUCGCUAAACUUAAAACUCCUGAGAUAUUCCUAAACGUUGUAUGUUAAACUACUAUUGGUAGCAGCUUGUAAAAGGUUAUUAACCACAAAAAUUUUGCUUCUAAUAAGUAGUUCCAAUUUUCUUUCUAGUGCAUUGACAUGCGGGACGUCAGAAUUAUUGGUCUCGAUUGUGACGUAAUUGAAGAGAAAUUGUACUAGUCUACUUGGCUAGUUCUUUAAAUUAUGUGACAUGUACUAUUGUGGAGGCUUAGCUAACAUAAAAUUUGGCACAAAAUUGAGCUUAAUGAUGUUCUAAAAUUCAUACAGCGCCGACCUCAUUUAAUGAGAUAAGACUUUAUUGUUGUUGUUUGUACUAUGGAUGAUGCUUGAUUUCUAACAGCCUUGGAUUUGAAAUGUAAAUCCGUCCUCUACAUAUGACACAUUCACAUUUAUUAGAGUUUAAGAAUGAGAGAUUUGUGUUAAUCAAACUUCAUGUACAGGAAAGAAGAUGUUGAUCAGUGAUGCUUUAAUGCCAAAUAAAUAAUCCUAGGACUUUUCAAAUUGGUUUACCAUUAUUUAUUUUAUUACGGAUCGCUUUUACCAUAGUAUCCAUUACUAAAUUACUAAUCACAUCUUAGCAUUCAGGCCAGCCCUGAGGGUAGCCGAGGUAGGCCGCCUAGUGCCCCCAAGUUCGGGGGGCCCCCAAAUUUUUUUAUACAUCCUGCAUAUAAAAUAUAAAUAAAGAAAACGUAAGAAACACCACAAUUAUUUUGUUGGUGCAGUGGAAACGGUUCCACUCUGUUUUCAUUGAGGUGGGCAGUUCGAAACACCUUGUAGGUAUUAGUUUUUGCGUUUUUCAAAUCUAUGAAAUUAAAGAUUAAAAUUAAAGAUAAAUUGCUCUUUAAAAAUUGUAAAAUUACAAGAAUCAAAAGGAGUUAAAAUAAUUCAACAAAUAUUAAUUUUGAAUGAAUUUAAAAUUUUCAACUUUAGAAAAAAAAAAAAAAAAAACCUCAUGGUAGUGAGUGGUUUAUGUUUAAAUUCUUAUUUAUUUUCAAAAAUAUUUUAAAUAAAAAUUGUAUAAAUAGAAAAAACUUGAGUUUCUUAAAUAAAAAACAUACAAAGGCCAAUUGUAAGAAGCUAGUGAAAUUAAUGGCCUCAAUUUGUCCAAAUGCAUUUUUUUUUCUUUUGCUUUUGAAAAUAACCUAAAAAAAAUAACAAAAACCAGAAUAAUCAUAACUUUGUAAUCCUUUUUCUUUCAACUUUCCAGUCUUUCUAUUUCUGUUGAAUGUUUAAGCAACUAUCACUUGGUCCUGAAGAUUGUAAUUUGAGGUAACCAUAACUUUGAAUUUAAAUUUUCUUUUUCAAUAAUUUAUUGUUAAACUAGGUUAUUCUAAAAUUUGAUUUGCUAGUGUGUGUUGAUUUUAGAAAGAACACAAGAGAACCACUAGGCGUUGUUGAAUUAUUAUAUUCGUCAAUCAAGUUUUAUUGUUUUUUACUCUCUUGAUCAUCAAGUUUUAUUGCUCUUCACUCUCAAUCUUAGUGCAUUUGCGUCUAAAGACAUGUGACAUGGAAUAUUAAGUAAUGUUAGUAUAUAUUUUUUUUUUCUUUUGAUAUUAAUUUAUAAUGAUAUUGGAUAAGCUCAUAUUUAUAUAUAUUUUACAUCAAAUUCACUUGUCUUUUCUUAGUUAGUUCCUUAUAUUUUUGAGCUAUUUACAUUGUUUUUGUGUUUUGUGGGAUUUGUCAAGCCAAGAAAAGAAAAAUAGCACAAAUAGGAUUUUUAGUAACAAAUUCGUCAAAACUGCCUGUGCAGAUCAGCUGACUUUGGAAGCAAGUUGCGAACAGCUCAGAAUGAAUUAGAGAAUGAGCCUUAUAUGCUUGGAAAUCUACGGAUGUCUAUUUUCUGGAGCAUUUCGCAGAUUGUUAAUAUCAUUUUUGUAGAAGAAGUUAUGGCCAUUUUAACACUAAAAGGUUCACAAGAGACUGAGCAGUUUGUAACUACAAUGAAAGCAAUAAACCCAAUAAGUCUAACAUCCAAAACUGAUGCAGCCAAGAACAAGUCAGCUGAUACCUAUUCAAAUAUCAGGGGAAAUGGAAAUAAAGAUGAGAAUUAAGUGGGAGUAAUGGGCAUAAAGGCUACCCAAAGAGUUACAAUUGUUUUACCAUUUCCUCUCACUUAUGGUCAUCACUAAAUGAUUGUUAGUGGGGUGAGUGAUGGAAAACAAAACUGGGAUAUCAAGCAAGAACAAAAAGGUGCAGGUUGCAGCUGCAAAGUGGGGGGGGGGGAAUAGGAGAAGAAAAAAGAAAAGAAAAGAAAGAGGACAAGGCAGCAGUGUUGGGGAAGGAAAGGAAGGAGGAAAUCUUGACAUUCUCUUCUCUCGGUUUUAUCUUCUCAAACUCAUGUCUUUCUUUUGGUUUUAUUUGAUAAUAAUGUGUAACUAAAUUCUUAGUAGUUAGGGGCUGUUUUGAAGCCCCAAAUAUGAUUACAAGUUUGUUAUGACAUUUUGUUUGAAUUACUUUUAUGAAUGGAUGAAAAUUGAUUCACUACUUGUCUCAUUGAUGAAUUAUUUAUGUGUUUUCUACGGAUGCAUACUUAGUAAGCAUAUCUAGGAUUCUAAAGCUAUGAAUAUGUAUGUGCCUGCCCUUGUCGAAUGAGAACCUACAUAUGUUCUAGAGUAGUACUUGUCAAUUGCGAUUAACAUGUGAACUAAUUUCUAGGAUAAGUAAGACAACGUCAGUACUUACGAUGCCAUUCUAGAUUGCAUGCUAGGGACUAAGUUAAGUUGAAAACGUCAUUCUCUUAACAUACUACAUAAGAAAGAGUAAUUUCGUAGAAUUUAGGUAAGUGUAAGUUGGUCUAAUAAUUAUUUUUCGGUGGCUGGUCAGUAGGGACAGCAACUAGUUUACCCUUAUUUUCAUAUGCUACAAUUGACAAAUCUUAGUGUUAAUGAGGAAAAUCAAUAAGACAUUUGUGUGCUAUUUUAUGGUGUGCUUUUAAUCCUAUCAAUAUUCGAUGAAGAAAUAUACUUUUUAUGUAAUUAGCGAAUUCUUCUUACUACAUACCAAUAUACAAAGAGUCGGAGGUCCGAGAACUUUAGGGCCCCACUUUGAAGACUCGCCUAGGGCCCCCAAAUUCUCAGGGCCGGCCCUGCUAGCAUCUUACCACCUUCUAGCACAUUUAUUAGGUGUUAGAUUUUAUCACAAAAAUUAAAAACAAAACCAUUCAUUGUAUUUUGUAAUUUAUUUUACCAAUUUUUCGACAUGAGAUAUUUUUGCAUUCUUCAACAGCGUGCACAUCUCUCAACCUAGUCGCUACGGGUAGCACUUAAACUCCUCAAUGAGAAAGCUAACCAUGAAUCCUACUAAUUUUUUUUGUCAAUAUUGUGUUGCUCAUCUUCCUUGUGAUUCUUCCCUCUUCCAUUUCGGCUGCUCUAGACGCCAUUACACCAAACCAACCCCUAAGAGAGGGCGACGUUCUUCUCUCCACCACUAAAAUCUUUGCACUAGGGUUUUUUAAAGCCAAGCAAUUCUCAUAACCGUUACGUCGGAGUUUGGUAAAACAAAAUUCCAAUCAAAACUGUUGUCUAGGUUGCAAACAGAGAAAACCCCAUAAUUCCCCUAUUGCUGGAACUGGACGCGCCCUAUAUUAGAAAAGUAUUCUCAUUGAAUGAAUAAUUAGAGUACAUUUGGUAUUUAUACAAAGAGCUAUAUUUGACAGCUCAUCAAAACUAACCUAUAACUAUCUAAUAACAAACUAACUUUCCAAUGACUAAUUACAACAGAAAUCACUAACUAUCCAAUGACUAAUUACAACAAAAUCAAGAUAAACAAUUAUCCUUAAUAUGCCCCCUCAAACUGAACUUGGGCAACCGAAGUGAUAGUUUGUCUUAAGCAACAGAAAACGAGACUUGGACAGAGAUUUAGUACAUAUAUCUGCAAUUUGAUCAUGUGAACAUACAAACUGAACAGUUACAGCUUUAGAGAGAACUUUUUCCCUGAUAAAAUGAUAGUCAAUCUCCACAUGUUUAGUCCUUGCAUGAAAUAAAGGAUUUUUUGCUAAGGAAAUCGCAGAAAUGUUAUCACACCACAAUUUUGGUGGAUAUGGAAGAGAUAGACCAACAUCAACAAGCAAUUUACAAAGCCAUGAAAGCUUAGCAGCAGUGUUAGCAAGAGAUCGAUACUCUGCUUCAGUGGAUGAGCGAGCCACUGUUGGUUGCUUUUUAGCACUCCAACUAAUAAGAGAGUUUCCAAGAAAUAUGCAAUAACCUCCAGUUGAUCUUCGGUCCAAGGCUUACCCUGCCCAAUCAUCAUCUGAAAAGGCAUUUGUAAUGAGUGAAGAUGAUGUUUUUGGAAACCAUAGUCCCAAAUCAAGAGUGCCCUUCAAGUAUCUCAAUAUUCUUUUAACUGCCUGCAAGUGAGACUGUCUGGGUUGAUGCAUAAGCUGACAGACCAAGUUAACAGCAAAGGAUAGAUCAGGUCGAGACCAAGUAAGGUAUUGUAACCUUCCUACAAUUGAUUUGUACUCAUCUGGAUGAGAGAGCAAUGGAGAAGAGUGGUCAAGUUUUGAUGUACUGAGAGGUGUUGCACAUGGUUUUGCACCAGCCAUGUUGGUCUUGGUAAGUAGAUCAAGAAUAUACUUGGGUUGUGAGAUAAAAAUACCAGAUAAUGACCUUUUAACCUCAAUUCCAAGAAAGAAAUGAAGAGGACCCAAGUCCUUGAUUGGAAAUAGAGAACUCAGUUGAGCUAUUGUGUCUUUGCAAGCCUGUGAAGAGGGACCCGUGACCAAGAUGUCAUCAAUAUAGACUAGGAUAAAAACCAGAGAAGGUUCAUUCUUGACAAAAAGAGAAUGAUCAUUAUGUUAUCCAUGAAAUCUCAUUGAUUUAAGUGCACCAUGAAGCCUCUCAUACCAGGCGCGAGGAGCCUGCUUUAGUCCAUAAAGACUCUUGUGAAGUUUGCAAACAUAGUGGGGCUUUGUAGGAUCUUGAAAACCAUAUGGUUGCUGCAUAAACACAUUCUCAGAUAGAUUACCAUGUAAAAAGGCAUUACUAACAUCAAACUGAUUGAGAAACUAAUCAUACUGAGAUGCUAGUGUGAGAAGAAGCCUGAUGGUUACUGGUUUAGCCACAUGGUUGAAUGUUUCUGUAUAAUCUAAACCCUCAUGUUAAUGAAAACCCUUGGCUACUAAACGAGCCUUGUAUCUGUCAAUAGUGCCAUCAGCUUUCCUUUUAAUACGGAACACUCAUUUACAACCAACAUGAUUAUGAGAAGGAUGUGGGGGAACAAGAAACCAAGUGCCUAUGUGAACCAGGACAUUAAAUUCCUCUUGCAUAUCUUGUCUCCAGUGAGGAUGUUUUGAAGCUUGGAGAUAAGUAGCAGGAAGAUUAUCUGCAGAAAUUUGGGAAGGAAGAGGGUGUUUGGUAGCUGAAUAGGCUUUUGGUUUAAAAAUGUUGGAUUUUGAUCUUGUUUGCAUAGGAUGAGUGUUUAAAGGUGGGGUUGGUGAUAUGUGUGAGGAAUGAGGAGAGACAGGGUGAGGAGAAUGAGGGAGAGGAGGUGAAAAAGUUGAAGUAGAAAAAGGUGCAUAUUGAUUUAGGUUGAUUACAAGUUGCAUAGGAUAAGAUGCUGCAGGGAAUUUGGUGAAGGUAAGAGUUGAAGGUAUGGGAGAGGAAAAGAUUGAGGCUGAGGAUGAAGAAGAUGAAACUGGAGAAACUUGAUGAAAUGGGAAAGUCAGCUCAUCAAAGAUGACAUGCCUUGAAAUAUAAAUCUUGUUGGAUUGAAGAUCAAGACAUCUAUAGCCAUUGUGAUUGAGACUAAAGCCAAGAAAGACACAGGGCUUGCUUUUGGGUUCAAGUUUGGAAGCUACAUAAGGUUUUAGCCAAGGAAAACACCUGCACCCAAACACUUUACGUGUUGUAUAAUCUGGAGGCUUGCUGAAAAGUUGUUCCCAAGGACAGGAUCUAGACAUAGUAGGCAACCUGUUUAUGAGAUAAAAUGCUGUGGAGAAUGCUUCAACCUAGUAAACAUGAGGAACAUGAGAAGCAGCUAAAAGUGUGCGAGCAACUUAUACUAAAUGUCUAUGCUUGCGCUCCACACAGUCAUUUUGUUUUGGUGUGUGAGGGCAUGAGAGUUGAUGAUGAAUGCCAUUGUCUUUAAGAUAUUGAAUAAACACGGAACUAAGAAAUUCACCAUCAGAGUUAGAUCGUAAAGUGACAACUUUAGUAUUUAACAAAGAUUCGACAAGAACUUUGAAUUCAACAAAGGUUUUAAAGACCUCAGAUUUACAUUUGAUCGGAAAGAACCAGUUAUAUCGACUGAAAUCAUCCACUAUAAAAAGAUAAAACCGAUAACCAGAUACAGAGAGAAAUGGAGCUGGACCCCAAACAUCUGCAUGUAAAAGUUCCAAAGGUCUAGUGGUAACACUAGAAGCUGAUACAAAUGGCAGUUUUGAACUUUUACCCAAUGCACAAUUUGAACAGAAGGUUUUAUUCAUAAUAGUAGUGAGAGGAAUACUAGACUUAGACACAAGUUUAUGUAAAACUUUGAAAGAGAGAUGACCCAAUCUUUGACGCCAAAUCUCUGGAGAAGCUUUGAUAGUAGCUGCAAAAUCUUAUGUGAACCAUCAUUGACAGAUGUAAUGAAUGGAUAAAAUCCAUUUUGCACAGGUCCUUUAAAAAGCGUCCUCUUCGAAAUAUGAUCCUUCACAGCGAAGUGAAAAUGAUAUAGGCGAAUUGAACACCAAUUAUCAAGUGUAAAUUUAUUUGCAGAGAGUAAAUCUUGCUUCAAAUCAGGCACAUGUAACACAUCAUGCAAAUCAAAACGAUGAUGAGGAGUAGAUAUAGAGGUAGAACCAGAAUUAGAUAUAGGCAAACCUUCACCAAUGUAGACUUGUUCAGGGCCGGUGUAUGGUGCUGGAUUUUGAAGAUUCGCCAGAGAACUUGUCAUAUGUGAGCUAGCUUCUGAAUCAAGAAGCCAGGAAUGAGAAGUACUCUGUGAAGGAUUAGCACACAUAGCCAUCUAAGAAUGUCGAUUGCCAAACUGAGGAUUCAUACAAUGAGGGCAAUCAUAGGCUUCAUGAUUAUACUGACGACAUAUUUGACAAGUUGAUAUUCUGCCACUGAAAUUAAAGCCCGAGCGACCUCCACAAUUGUUCCUCUGAGUAUAGCGAGAGUAAUUUGGACGCUGACUGUUACCACAAUAACCGGAGAAAUUGCCCUUAUUUUGAGAAUUCCUAGGGUUAGACAAAAUGCGAGCUUGAGAACAACCUUGAUACUGAUUAAACUAAGAUGAAUUCUGAGCAAGAAAGGCCUGAGAGCCAGUAUUGGAAGUCGGUGUAGGAAGAAUGCCAGAGGAUAAUGCAAGAUUCGAAUUGAGGCCUGAAAAACGCCAGAGGAUGUAGUAGCUUUCUUGCGAGUGGUAAGCUGAAUUUCUUUACUUAGAAGUAAGCCAUGUAACUCAUCAAGUGUUGUAGAGCCAAGACGGAAUUGGAUCGCAUCAACAAAGGAAUCAUACUCCGGCGGCAGGCUAUGAAGAGUUAUAGAAAUCAGAUCAGAGUCUUCAGUCGGAGCUUCGGCGCUGGCAAGAGCAUCAGCAAUGUCUUCAAUUUGUUGAAGAUAAGCAAAGGCGGUGGAAUCACCUUUUGAAAUAUUAUGAAGACGAGAUCGGAGUUCAUGAAUAUGUGAUUGAGAAGCUGCUGCAAGGCACGAUUCAAGCUUAGACCAUAGCUCUCGAGAGGAAUUUACACCCAUAGUAUAGGGAAUUAGGGAUUCAGAAAGUGUAGAGUUGAUCCAUAUGAGAAUAUUUUGAUCAUUCGCAUACCAAGAAACAUAGUCAGGGUUGAAAUUGCGAUUACCGGAAGAAUCAAGAAGAAAUUGAGGCGGUGCCGCCAUAGAUCCAUCAAUGAGACCGGUAAGAUUGUAGCGACGGAAGAUUGGGGCAAAGAGAGCACUCCAGGUCAAGUAAUUUGUAGUGGUGAGCUUGAUUGGCACCAUAGAUCCGAUGUUUUGGAUCAUAAUGGAGGUAGAAGAGAAGAAUUAGGGUUUGAGGAAGAAGUCGGAAUGGGAUGAACAUGUGUAGCCGAUUCCGACGAAGGAUACGCCAUGGCUGAAUUGAUGAGAGAAACUUGAAGAGAUCAAACGCGAUCGAGAAAUCGAUCAGAGAAUCAGAGAAUCAGAAAAGAGAAAAAUUGUAGGGAGAAGCGAGAAGGAUUGGAUCGAAGAGGGAGAAGUCAAAAGACAAAGGCAGGUGAUACCAUAUUAGAAAAGUAUUCUCAUUGAAUGAAUAAUUAUAGUACAUUUGGUAUUUAUACAGAGAGCUAUAUUUGAUAGCUCAUCAAAACUAACCUAUAACUAUCCAAUACCAAACUAACUGUCCAAUGACUAAUUACAACAUAAAUCACUAACUAUCCAAUGACUAAUUACAACAAAAUCAAGAUAAACAACUAUCCUUAAUACCCUAGCCAUUCAUGGAGAUCAUGGUGGCCUUGUCAUAUAUGGGGAGGACCAAAAUACCCCUUUCUGGUCCGCUAAUGUCACCGUCUCUUCUCCAAACAAAUUCGUGGUAGCCAAGCUUUUGGAUACGGGCUGGACAGGCAGUCCGGGCUAAACCGGUUCCCCACAUCUUGGAAGUCCCAAAAUGACCCGGGAACGGGCAACUGUUAGUACCGGAUAGAGUCAAGUGAGAGUCCACAGCAGUUCUUAUGCAAGGGUCAGACUCCAUUAUGGGGGGCAGUGGCGAAGCUACGUGAGGACGAGGAGUGGCAGCCGCCCCUCCCCUCGCCGGAAAUCAAGCACAGGAGCGGCGAUUCCGCCCCUCCGAUCUCGUCGGAAGUGAUGAAAUUCCGUUUGGUUUUCUGGCCUUUUGGGUUUCCCUGUUCUAUCACAGCACAGGCUGAUCACGGGCUCUCUUUUUUUUUCCAAAAAAAAAAACCUAGGCCAAAGAAAUGAGGAAUGAAGAUCUGCAUUUAGCAGCUUCUGGAUAUUGGAAAUGUUCUGGUUUGGUUCUAACGAAGAAGAGGAGAAAGGAAGAAGAGAGAGACUCUCUCUCUCCCAUCCCACCCCACGUGACCUUUACAAUUUGUUUUUUUUUUAAAUAUUGGCCAACCAAUAUGCGCCACCUAACCUGCUUUUGUUGAUUUAUAUUGGAAUUUAUUUUAUUUUUUAAUUAUUGUCCAAUUAAUUUGACCAAUCUUUCAAUAUUUAUUAAACCACUUGUUUGACACUGUUAUUUAUCUUAAAAUUCACUAUAAUUUAUACGAGCUUCAAAAAAUAAUUUGUAAAAUAUUAAAAACUUGUAAUUAUGUUUUUUCUUCUCUUACCAUCAAAUUCAACAAAGUAAUGAAGAAAAUUUGUCAAUAUUUUUAUAUAUUAUAUGUUUUAUAAUCAAUGUUUUUUGGAUAUUACAAACUAUAUAAUAAAUAGACAAUUAUUUAUACGGUGUAUAAUAAAUUUAUUCAAAUUUGCCUAGGUCCUUGCCGAAGUGUAAAGUCAUGUCCAUCGUCUGACUAGAGCUUAACAUCUUUUAAAACUUUGCUAAUUAUACAGUUAAGUAAUAGGACGAUACAACGAGAAACGGUGCUAAAUCAUCCUUCAAAUAAUAUUGUUUUUCAAACCCUCCUUCGACUAUUUUGAGUAGUCCAAAUCCUCUUUUGAAUAUUUCGGUUAGUGCAAAUUCUCCUAUGAAUAUUACGGGUGGUUCAAAUAAUCUUCUUGCAAAUGCAAGACUUACACCUCGAAUGAAUGUUCACAUUUUUCGGGACCCUAAAUUUUUUAAAUUUCGCCCCUCCCCCCAAGAAUUCCUGGCUUCGCCACUGGUGGGGGGCUGGAUCUUGGACCAGUGAAAGAUGGUCCAGGGUGCCUGCAAUGACGAAAAUUUUCAUCUUCAACGCUACUUUUGUGAACAAUCAAGAUGAGGUAUCCGUCAUGUAUGGUAUUGUUGAUGAAUCAAUCUUCUCAAAAUUGGUGAUCGAUGAAUCAGGAAUCCUUGAACGGACCAAAUGGCAAGAUCAAGCGCAUCAAUGGGUCAAGUUUUGGUCCGCCCCGGUUAAGCAAUGUGAUUUUUACUGGAAGUGUGAUUUUUACAUUGCGGAUAAAUUUGAGUGCAAUUGCCUACCUGGAUUCGAACCCAAGUUGCAACAUGAGUGGUAUUUGAGAGAUGGGUCAGGCAGGUGAGUGAGGCAAAAAGGAUCAUCCGUUUGCCAAAACGGGGAAGGGUUUGUGAAGUUGGAACGUGUGAAGGUGCCGAACGCUUCUAUGACACGGGAGAGCAUGAGUAUGAGUCUGAAAGCAUGUGAAGAAGAAUGCCUGAGAAAUUGUUCUUGCAUGGCAUACGCAAUUGCAGAUGAAGGGCAGGGAGGGAGUGGGUGUAUAACAUGGCAUGGGGACUCGAUGGACACAAGGACUUAUUCGGAUACGGGUCUAGAUUUAUAUGUGCAAGUUGAUGCAAUUGUUUUAGGUAUAUUUUCAUUAUCAAUUUAUCUUCUUUCUUUCUUUACAUUAUCAAUAAUUUUCCUCGUACCGUCGACGUUCCAUGAAAAAAAAACUCUUCUUUCUUUUAUUUCAUAAAAUAUUUGAGGAAUUAUUAUUUAGUUUGGGAGCCGUACGUUUGUUAACGUUCUAAAGAAAUCAUUUGGCACGGGUCUCUUGACAAAUAAUAAAAGUGAAAUUGUUUCAUUAAGAGUGUAAGAUGAUUUUUUUGGAGUACUCAUAAAUUUUGGAAAUUAAUAUAAGUUCUCACGCUAAAAAUUG